UUGAUUUUAUUAGGUACCGCAUAUCUGGAUCAUCAUUGCUUGCUGCCAUGGAUCUAAGUUCACAUGUUCCAUAUUCAGAUGUAUUAUCAGUUCGCACUGGUGAAAUGACUCCAACCAUGGACCAAAGAGAGCAAAUAAAUUCUCCUCCAUUCCAAGGGAAGAAUGAGACUCUCUCUAGGGCAGAUGAUAGGGGCGGAAGGGUUCAUCCAACUGUUGAUGUAGCUGAAAUUCUCCGACGUUGGACUCAUGCAUUACAACGUAUUCACAAACAAUCGCUCCAUUUGGUAGGUGAAAUUUAGGUUGCAGAUUAGCUAUUGGUUUUGCAGAAAUUGGUAUAUCAUUUUGUUCUUGGCAUGCUAAAGUUCUAUUUGACAUGAUUCUUAAUGGUAGAGUUACUGAGGCAUGGGAUAUCCUUAGAAUCAUGGUAAACUAGUGAAGGACCCGCGCGUUGCGGCGGGAUGAUUUUGUAAAAAUAAAUAAAUAAAUAAAGUAAAAAAAUGUCAAGGAAUUAUAUUAAAAAAAAAUGUAACUGAAGAAUAAGUAACUAUUUCUGCAAUAAAAAUAGAAGAAUAAAUUAUAGGAAGGACUAAAAAAAUAAGGGCAAAAACCAUACGAAUUUGUUAUCUUAACUAUUAAAAAAUAGUAUUGAUUCAUGCGAUAAAAUUUUAUAUUUAUUUGUUAUAUUGACUAUUAAAAAAUAAAAUUGAUCUAUGCGAUAAAAUUUUACACUUGAUAUAAGCAAAAAUAAAAAAAAAGAUGUUAAGAAAAAAAAUAAAAAAAAUAAGAAAGAGAGAGGGAGUGAGAGUGUUGAGAGAAAAAAAUAAAAAAAGAAGUAAAAGAGUGAGAGAGAGCGAGAGAGUGAGAGAGAGUGAAAAAAAAAAAAGGUGGGGCCCACCGGGCCCCCAAAACCCGGGGAGAGCCUCUUUAGGCUCUCCUUUCAUGUAUUGUAUAGAUAGAUGUCAGUAGGGAGUGCAAUUCAGAACAGAGUACAAUUGAUCAACAAUCUAUGUUUGGGCUAAAUUUAGCCUAAUAAUUGAAGUAAUCCUCAGAAUGCAGUAGCCAACCAGUGAACCAAUCAUUAAUCCAAUGCCCAAUCCGCCAGUGAACCAAUCAUUAAUCCAAUGCCCAACCCGGCAGGCUGUAUAUUUUUCAAAGAGACUAGUCUGUGUAUUAACCCAGAACCAGUCACCUGGUAUCAUUGAAACUAACCAAGCCCUAAUUGCUACUGCGAGGUUGACAGAUUAGUUGCAAAUUUAUUUAACCUAUUUCACUACGACUUACAUUUGGAAGAAGCAUUUGCUGAUAUUCUGUUUUUGCUAUGCCAUUAGAAAACACAAGUAGCCUUUCUUUUUCCUAAUCUUUGCAUGUCCUUUCACAACAUUUACCAGUGUAUUUGUUUGUUGAAGCAGUGUUAUUUAAGGAAUACUGCUACAAUUUAGUCGGCAUAAAUUGUGUACACAUGCUUAUUAUUUUAUGUGAUGCCUUAUCGAACUUCUCUACAAGCCUGCCUUUGAAUAUUCUUGCCUGUCUAACCGUUAGUAAGUGUUGCUUGUAUAGGCCAAAGCUAAUGAUGGGGAGGGCCCAGAAUUACUUCGUAGUGUAUCUGACAGUGAUACCAGCGGCCAUGCUGAGUCAUUGGCUGCAACACUUGCAGAACAUCGCCAACAUUUAGUUAGCAUACAGGUGAUAUAACUUUCAUGCUGAUCUGCUUUAUUUACAGUUUGUUUAUAGUUUGUUUACAGUUUGUUUACGCCAUUGAUGGAUUAUAAUUUGUUCGGUAACUGUCGAAUAUAUACUAUGCAAAUUAAGAUCAUUAUAUAGGCAUGAGAAAGUACGCCAAAAAGUACAUAAAAAUAGUGAAACGUGAACCCCACUUAUCUUUUAAAAGAAUCAUUCUGCUGUCUGCUGUGCAUCAUGGACUAAUUAGGUAAAUUCGGCAAUGUGAGAAUUGACUUUAUGCACUGCUGUUGACCACUUAACCCAAGGUCUGUAGGCUUAAGGCUUUUUGAACUGUAAUGGUGGUCAGUCUAUACUUAAUUGCAGGUUCUCUGUGCUCAUUUUGUGAAACCUAAGACAAUCCCAUAUAAUUUGAUGUGUUGGAGGAAAGAAUUUUCUUUUCUUAUUAUAGUUGGUUAACUUACAAUGCAUCCAAAUAAAUAAUAAAUGACAACUUGUUCAAAAAAAAAAUUUGAAAGCAAAAAAAAAAUUGUUUCCAAGUUUUUAUCUUUGGUUGUCAAAUAAACACCGUGGAUGAAAGGAUUGUAAGAAAUCCAUUGACCACUCUUACACCUUUUCAUAUACAAAAUUUUAUUUGAAAAACAAAAAACGAACAUGAUACCAAAUGAGACCCAAGGUUUUUGAUAGAUUAAUCAGCUGCAAAAUUUGAGCAACUAUUUAUGUGGGAGAAGGGGUAAAAAGAAACCAAAAUAAAAUAGACACAUUUUGUUGCUACCUGAUGGAAUAAAUAUCUUCAAGGCUUGUUUUAGGGAGAGGUUCUUUAGUCCUGUAAAGAAAGCAUGCUUUGCCCGUCACAGUUGAUAUAUUUGGUACCCUUUGAUGAGAUUUUCUUCCAGUGAUUGCAGGCUUUUUUUUCCCUAUAUUAAUCAACUAAAGAUUCUUGUGGAAUAUUCAGGGCUAUUUUAAUAUGUCGAUCGAAAGUAAGGUUUUGAUCUUCUCCUUUAUUAUGAAAAGAAUUGUGUUGUAUGAUUAAUAAAAUAUAAUCAUUAAGUCAUAAUUUUCUUGUUUAUUGGGCCGCAUUUGAUUAAUUUAGAGGACAAUACACUUAUAAUAAAGAGAUAAUCAAUUCAAAUUAUUGUUUAAAGGGAGAAUGCUUUAUGCGUCAAUUGGAAAAUCCAGUAACCUUUUAAGUGAACAGUAAGCUUAAAGUUUUAGCUGGUGGUAGUGGGGAUUGGCGGUGUGUCUGGGUGUGGGUGGGCAAAUGUACUGGUAUAGCUAUCGGCAUGUUAUUUGACUUUACCAUGCAAGAAAUUCAUGCUCAAGUAUGCCGUCUGUCUGUUGUGUUUUGAGUAGAAAAUUUGCUACUUGAUAUUGGCUCUGACCGUCAGAUGAUUUACUCUUAGUAGAGCUUACAAAAGCUUAGUAUCUACAUUUGCUAGUACUAUAGAGAAUUUUUUGAUAUAUCUGUAAGUUUGUUUCCUUGGAUUAAAAUCUGGAAAUUUUAUGCUGUAUUUUUUAAUAUGUUGGCUAUUUUCUGACCUCAAGUUUAAUCAAUUCAGGGACUUAUUAGUCAACUAAAGGAAGCCAUUCCGGCAAUGCAGAAGUCAAUAUCAGAACUCACUGAAGAAGUAAACAUAAUAUCUGCAAGCACAAUAGAUGAGUUGGAUGCGAGACCUUCUGUGCAGUCUCAGAGCAUCGGAAGGCCACUAGUGAGAACUCCACUGAUAUUUUCAUUUAUGUAUAGAAACUGUUUCAUGUAGAUUAGCCACGAGUUCCUUUGGCUAAUAAAAAGACUCCUCUUUCCACAUUUAUUUAUGUGAUGGCUGAUUUAUUUCCUCUAAGCAGGAAAAUAGUAGUGAUGAACUUGCUGAGGUGACUACUAGGCUCUCUUCUAUCCAGAUUGACAAAGCUGCCUCCAGCCCGGCACUGAAGCUCCCUCAUUUAUUCAGUCUGACUCCUAAUUCAUUGGGAAAAGGCACACAUACACCAAAGCGGACUGCUAUGGCUACUCAAUGCGAUCAGGAAAAGAUGCACACAGGGAAGUCACUUUCACAGCCUUCGGUGAAUGAUCAUAUAAGCGGUGAAGCACUUGGUUAGUAAUCUCCUUCAUUUCUUCGUUGAAGCCAUACUUGGAGAUGUGUGUUCAAAUUUGGAAGAAGCAUUAACAGACUCCCCAACAAAAAACAAAAUAUAUAUAUAGAGUCUGGCUACUAUACUAUCGAUAGUACCAAGCCCUUGGUACUAUUGAGUUUUCUACCGUUAAAUCUACCCUUUGAUCAUUUCCACCCGUUAGAUUAUACUAUAUAACUAACCACCCACUCAAUCCUAGAAAACCACUAUCAAUUUAACCGGGAACCACUAUCAUUCUAACCGCACAUCCUUUCAUCCAACGGCCGAAAACUCAAUAGUACCAAGGGUUUGGUACUAUUGGCAGUAUAGUAGCAUAAUUCUAUAUAUAUAUAUAUAUAUAUAUAUGGAGAGAGAGAGAGAGAAAGAGAGAGAUGUAUAUAUGUAUGUAUCUCUACGAAAUCUACAUUUUUGUUUUUGCCCUUUUGAUAACUUAAUUCCAUACAUACUACUUGUACAUAAGAAGAAAUGCCCCCUUCUGAAAAACUUUUUCCUAUGCAAAAUAAACUUUCCCCAAUGAAUUGAAUGACAAGGCAUUUUCUGUUCCUUUUACAGAUAGUGAUGGUUCUUACGCUUAUGACAUUAGACGUUCUGUUCGUGAAGCUGCCCUAGUAAGGCCGUUGAGCAACUCAGAAUGUUCACAAGACAAGAGUAGUGAUGAUGGGUCUGAACACUUCUUCAUCCCACUCUCAUCAGUUACUUCUAUGAAAGAAGUAGAGGCCAUGCCAAAUAGGAGAAAACAAAGAUUGGUUUUUUCUCCACCUGAAAUCCGUGUCCCAAAGAGUACAAAAGAUUUCCACUUAAAUACUGGUGUCCUAUCGAGUUCAACCCAUAAGUUGAACGGAUUUGAUGGAUAUGACGGAAACCGAGCAAGCCUAAUUCGUCCAGGCACUGGUAAUGAACAGAGUUUGUUUCCUGAUGCUGACGAUGCUUUGGAUCAAGUAUUUUCACCUCCUUUGCUGCUGGAUUCAUCUUUCUUCCAAGAUACAUAUGAGGACUUGCUGGGUAUGUUUUUUCUACACUAUCUCAAGUUAUCAUGGAUCCGUUUAGAAUAUCAGCUGAUCAUUUUUGACAAAAUAAAUUCUUUAUUGAGAACAAAAGCAGCGAAUAAUUUUGUUUUGAAAAUCUGAAUGGAGGUAUGCCUGCACGGCCUGUCUGGUCUUUUCUGAACUUUUAUGGAAGUGCUGUUAAGUAGAGUUGGUUCAAAAAGCACUAGAAACAGCCUUUUAUUAAGAUCUCUUCAUCAUGUUCCUACAACCAAGCUGAAAUUUCAAAUUGGAGCCUUCUGCUUCUGAGAUCCAGAUAUUCGUGUUAGCUUUCCUUUUUACGACCAUUUUGCUAGCCAAAUGGCUAUCUGUGCUUGUCGUCAUAGAGAUGUCGAACUCUAUAGCCUUACUUUGGAUGAUGUAGUACUUUGGAUGAUGUAGGGACGUGUAAGUAGCUUAUAGGAUUUGUCAUUAAAGAAUUAGCGCUCUGGUAUACGUUGGGUGUGGGCAUGUUAGAAUGGUGGUUUUAGUCUACUAAGUUGUUAAUACUGGUAGGAAUACUUCAGCCAUUACAAGACAGAUUGCCCAACAAAGCCAUCCCAGAAAAACACAAAGUCCACUAUGAGGCACUUUUUAUCAUCAUUCAUCUUGAUGGCGCACCACUAAAUUUGCUGGAAAACUAAGAGUUAAUGUGGGAGUUAUGAUUUUUCCAUUUUGCAGCGCCAUUAUCGGAGACCGAUGCAGCUUUAAUGGAGCAUUAGACUUCAAGACGGUAUGUGAUUUGUUUUACAGCAAGCUGAAGCUCAACUUCACUGGAAAAGCCCAUGAUUACUUGUGGCCCCAUAAUUCGAAAGUUAACACCAUUCAGUAUGAACAUAUUAGCUACACCAGCUUUAGAUUCCUCACAUGGACGCUGCUUUGGUGUGAAGCAAAAGUCAAGCUUUUAAGUCAACGUGAAAUGAUGCGUAAAUCUCACUGCUUAGGGAAGGCACUUUCGCGAAUGAUCAACACACUAGAAUGCUCACCGUUUUUUUGUAUUUAAAUUCACAGCUGUUGUAUUUGUAUCUGUAAUAAUUCAAUCCACUAUUUUCAGAUGACUUUCAACAUCGGCGCAUUUUUCCGGCUUUGUUUUUUCGCCGAAGUUUGGUCUUUGUUGGCUUGCUACAUUUUAUUCUUCGUACGUUGCAGUAUCAUUGUAUGUAAAAUCAAUUCUAGUCCUAUGUUGAGGCAUGCUAUGGUGAGGAAAUAUUGGGUGCAUUUGGUGAACCACAUAAACGGGGCAGUGAAUGGACCAAUGUGGUGCACUAAGUGUAGGCGAUAAUUUUUUUUUCUGUAGCUGGGAAGUCCCGGGGGCGGUGAAGUGGAUUUGGAAUGUUUCUUUUUCGUUGGGAAUCAUUGUUUUGGUGUUUUUCUUUUUUCUUUCUUUUUUUUCUAUCUUUAUUGUUUUCUGUCUCAUUCACAUUUUAUCCAUGAGAAUUUCCUCUGCUAGUCCUUGUUCACCUCUGGAGUUGUAAUAGUGAGUCGAUAGAGCUCUAUUAGCUAUUUUAUCUUCUAAUAGAAGAAAUAUAUUAUUCACCAUUAACAAGUUAUAAAAUGAGUUGAGCUAUAGAUAGUAGGUAAAUAUUGUUUACUGUUUACUCUUUAUUUUUUAAAUUUAUAAUAGUGUCACCACCAAAUAGUAACUCCUUAAUUAGUCAUUCAAAGGCUAAAAAAAAUUGACAGUAAAUAUUAUUUUUUUAUUAAUAAAUAAUAUAACAGCUUGAGUCUUUAUAAAAUAUAUUGCUUAGGUAUUAUUUAACAUCGUUGUUGUUUUUAUUUUUUAAUAUUAAUUUUAUAAAAUUUAAUAUACCGGUUGAUUAAAUGAAGUAUCAGCAAUAUUCUCAUUUCGAGUUAUUUCAUAACUUAUUAAGAAAGAAUUAUUUUCUUUUUUUCAGCGUUAGCCAUCCUAAGCUUUAUUAGUAACUAAAUAAAUUAUAAAUGAGUAGAAUUAAUAUAUAAGAGUUUGGCAAAUGAAUAAUAUAUUCCACUCAAAUAAUUAAAAUGACUCAUUCUUUAGAUCUUAUUAAUAAAAGAAAUGGUAUGAAAUGAUUACUUAAAUUUGUAAAAGUAUGACAUCAUAUAACUCAAUAAAUAUACAUUAUCAUCUUUCAAUAAAGAUACAUAAAAAAAAAAAAAUGUAAUAUGAGCAUAGCAUGAUCCCAACCUCAUGUUGAGAUGAAAUACCAACUAUACUCAGCCCUAGCAUAGCUGGUUAAGGAUUUACUAAUUUAUGAAAAACGCUGCUGGAACGAAUAUACAUCUGACACCCUUAAAUCCAGGGGUUGAACAUUGCUCUAUUUAUUAUAUCUUACUCAAGUGCAAGGUGCGGAGCCAAGAGAGCAACAUCUAACCGACCGUUUCUAAAGCAAAUGGCAAAAGACUUGGUGGUUGGUAUCCAAGAUCCAAGUUCGAAUUCUAGUUGGUUCAUAUUUCUAGAUAAGUUUAUUUUUAAAUGAAAUAAACGAAGCGGGUAGCGUGCUAUCUAUCUCUCAAAAAAAAAAAAGUAAAAAAAAAAAAGAAGAGAGCAACAUCUAUAUUGCUUAUUGAUGAUAGCUUUGUAUAGCAUGUAUCCAGUAUUUAGCACCCACAGCUAAUUAAAUGUUAAUCAUAAUAUUUUUUAACAGAACCGAACUGGCUAAUUGAAUAGUCAAAUGCAGAGAUUUGGUUCGGUUUUUCUGUAGAUUUAAUUAGCUAGUGUUGACUCGAGUUUUGAGAGAAACUGAAAAUUAUACAAGACCACUUCAUUUUUUUUUUUUCUUUAUAAUCGAACCAAACAGAAUAUAGUAGUUUAGCGAGUUCUUUUACACAAAUUGGCAGUUUAGUGUCAUCAUUAUUUAACAUACAAGUAAAGCUUAACCGUGAAAGAACAAUAUCAAGGAUCUCAUCUUUUUAAGCAGAGUUGAGAUUGUUGUUCUUUUAUGUAUAUCAGAAAAACCAACUGAUAGAUGAUAGAGCACCUUACGCCUACAAUAGCAAGCCAGCAGAGAAAACGAAACAAGAACAGAACACGGCAAAUCACACCGCACUUUCCAAACCUCCCAUUCAAGAUCAAUCGCACACUUUCGAUUCAAUCAUAGAAAUUACUCAAACUUCCAAGUUCAGACAAAAAAAAAAAAAAAAAAAAAAGUUCCAGAGGCGAUAUGGAAGGACGACUGAUGCUUUAUUUCGGUGCUCAAUUAAUUAAUGAGCCUUCCGGCUUAGGAAUUGACCGCCAGGAGGCAAGAAGUGAGCUCUGCAUCUUUCUCGAACUCGGCCAUCUCGUCCUCGCUCAGCGACACCCAGGCCUCCACCCCGCGGCCGUCCAUCGCAUGGAAUGGGGCGGGCAGCAGCACGGCCCCGUCCCUGCUGACGUUGCGGUUGAUGCCGACCCACGCCGGCUUCCCCCACCCGAAGUCGACCUCGUACACCGGCAGCCGGAGCCAGCUGCUGAUCACGUGCAGGUCGAAGCCCCUGAAGCCGCCGCACCCCCGCACCGCCUCCCCCACCAGCGCGAACGCCGAGGUGUGCCCGCUCGGCCCCUGCAGCCGCUUCGCGUGCUCCCCUCCCACCUUCUUCACGGAGCUCCCGAUCUCCUCCUCCAGCGCGGCGCCUCCGCAGCCCUCGCCCUCGCCCACGGCCACGCCCGCCGCCGUCUCCGCCGCCAGCGCCGCCGCCGCCAGCACGCAGCGGUUGCCGAAGGCGUGGUCGGGCGCCGGCGGGUCCGUCCGCGCGCGCGUGUCGACGAUGAGCGACGCCACCGACGCCUUCGGCGGCGCGCCGCCCCGGGCGGCCCGGGCGCGCGCGCGGAUGAGGCCGCGCCACAGCAGCGCGGUCACGGCCUGGACGCGCGUCGGGGCAGGGGCCGGGGCAGGGGCCGGGGCCGGGCGGAGAGCCGCGAUCUUCCGCGGGUCGAGAGGGAACCGCUUCACCACCUGCGGCUUCUUCUCGCCGGGGCCAGCCUCGGGCUCCGUCGGCGGCACGGCGUCGUCGCUCGGCGGGAAGGCGUCGGCGGCGUCGAACAAAGGGUCGGGCUCGUCGCCGCGGCCGCCCAGGAGCGAAGGAACGACCCCAUCGACCGCCCGUCGGCGAUCUUGUGCGACAGGCACACCCCGAUCGCCACCCCCCCGCACUCGAAUCCCGUGACCUGCGCGUUACAUUACAUGCAUAUAAGAUAUAUAAUAAUUAAAACCCGCAUGCACUAACCUUUUCUUCUUCUUCUUCUUCUUCUUCUUCUUCUUAAGAAUUAAUAAUGCAUGUAUGGGUACGUUGUUGACGUUUUUAACUAAAACCUGCACGGAGAGUAGAACUCCGGUGUCGGAUCCGCAGCAGCUCCUGGCGCAGGGCAUGAUCUUGCUCUCAGAUUCUUCAUCGGGUGCGCCGUCGCGGCCGAGCACAUCGGAGAGCUCGACGUCAGCGCGGGCUUCGUAGAAGUCGACGCCGUCGUCGGCGCAGUCGACGAGGGAGCUGCCUUUCUGCCGGCCGGCGAGCGGGUAGUACCGGGACAAGGCUCCCGACAAGGAGGCCUUCAGAGCGGCGAUCUUGGCUUCGACGGUGGCGGUUUGAGGCCGACGAGUGCAGCUGUAGAAGAGGGUGACGGGGAGGUGCUUGACUGGGGUCUGCUGGUCGAUCCAGCAGAGCUUGUAGGAGCGGAGGUGGGGAGGGGUGGGGGACGAGGGCUUGAUGGUCUCGUGCGACACGAUCUGGACGGUGGGGAUCUUCAUUUUUGGUACUAGAGCCGCAGCAGUAGGGAGCUAGCGUGGUUGCUGCUUCAAAAUGGGAGAUGACCACUCAAACUUCCCUUCCCGUAAGAGCCUAACUAGUAAGUACAUAAAUGUGCUACACACCCUUGCUCACGUGCAUGAUAGCAUACCCCCUAAAAUUAAUAGAUAAACUAGAAGAUGAAGAUUUAAGUACCUAACUCACAAUUUAAUUAUGAAAAUUUUUAAACUCAUUAAAUAUUAAAGGUGAGAAUUAAAUUCACGACUUUACAAAAUAAAGAGAUUUAGAAUAGAUUAUAAUACCAUAUUUUUUAAAAAAUUGGUUUGUUGAAAAUAAGACCGAUUAGAAGAUGAAAAAUGCUGGCGCUUUGAAUGCUGUACCUAGGCCAUUUUUACAUAUAAUAGAGGAGAGGAAUUUAAAAGUUUAGCUUUUGAAAGUAUAAAUUUAAGAGUAAACUUUAAUUUGUCUCAUUUAGUUUAUUUCUAUUUUGUUAUUUUAUAAUUUAAAAAUUUUAUACUUAAAUAUUUUACAGUUUAGCUCUUUUUUUUUUUGUUAUUGUGUGGUUUAAAAAAUUACACUUUACUAUUCUUUAGUUAUCAAAAAAUUUUACUUUAUUAUUCAAUUUGAUAGUAAAUUUUUUCGAUACAAUCAAAAAUAAAAUUAUAUGAAAAUUAUAUAUAAUUUUUGAGUUAUAGGGUGGUAGAGAUAAAAUGAGCUAAACUAGGCGGGGAAAAUUGCCUAACCCUGCUAGAUGGGCAUUGAACUCUUUGAAGCCUCGUCUGUAUACAUCUUUCGAAAUGGUGAUUAACGAGAAAAUGGCAGUGGUUUUUGUGCAAAAAAUCGAUCGAAAAGUCAAAGGUUCAGAUCCCAAUUAUAUGUUUAUAUAGUAAGAAAUCAAACCCUUGAUUUCUCAGGGCCAAAAAAUAUUUUUUGAGACAUAAAUAGCACGCUAUUCAUUUCAUUUAUUUUAUUUAAAAAUAAACUUAGCUGGAAAUGUGAAUCAACUAGGUUCUACUAAGUUCUACUAAGUUCUUUACCACUUGCGCUAAGGACGGUCGAUAGGGACUAAAAAAUAUUGAUAAAGUAUAUACUUGGUCCCUAAAAAUACGCUUGUUUCAUACAAAAUGAAUAGAAGAUGAUAUUUAUUACGGUCAUAAAUAUUUGUUUUGAAUUUUUUGUUUACUACAAAUAAUUUCAAAACUCAAUAAUUGAAUUUGUCCUUAGUGAUGGUGUAAUCAAUUGUAAAAAAGAAAAGAAUAAAAAGAUUUAACUGAUGUAACUCUUUUUUUAUCGUCUUAUGCAUUAAUAUAAAAUAGGAAAAAAUUCCUGUGUGCCCGCCAAAAAGCAUAUAUUUUCAUAGACGCCCCUAUAAAAAUUAAAAUAUCCUAAAUGCUCCUCUAGAUAUAACAAACUUUUAAAACUACCAUUUAAAGUAACUUCCGUUAAAAUAUAUACCAACGGCAAAGCAAAUACCAGUUUUAGCCUUUUUCAUAAUUGCCCCUUCAAAUGUUCCAAUUCUCACUAAUAAGUUAUAACUUUUGUAAAUACCCAUUGAAUUUAAAAUUCAUAAUUAGGAUCUAGCUACAUGCAUACUUAUUGUUAAAGAUAUUUAGUUAAAAAAAUAUCUUUAAUAUACUUAUUUAGACCUAUUUAUGAAAUCUGUGUAAGUCAUUUAGUUGGAUUCUCAUACUGAUUUCUUUAAAAUUUGUAUAAUCUAAUCUAAAAAGUUAGUAUUUUAUCUUAUUAAAUCUUGAUAAAGGGAGAGAGUGAAGAAUUAAUUGAUUGAAAAAUUAUAAAACUUUAUCAUCAAUUAUGUAGUAUUAAAUUACUUAUCAAAUUUGAAGUAAUAAUAAAAUGAUCUAAUAUUAUGUACAAGAUUAGAUAGAAGCAACAAAAAAAAUUUGAUACAACUAUAAAAAUAAUGCAAGUUAAGAAAAUCAAUUAGAAUAGUGAUAUAAACUAGCAUGUAAACAAGCUUUUAUUUAUAUUCUAAAAUAAAUUGAAGUAAAAGAAACCUGAAAAUCUAAGACUAAUCUGAAAAUAUUGAGUUAAAGAUUCUAUAAUAUUUAAAUAAUCUAAAAUAAUUAGCUUGAACAGUUUGUAAUUCAAAAAUGAUUCAAAUUUUGCGUAAAACAAAUUUGACUAUUUAAACUAACAUAAUUAUCUAAACUAACUUAUCCAAUACAUGUCAUAAAAAAAUAUUAAUAAAAUGUAUUACAGUUAAAUAUUUAACUGAUAUGAGUUAAAUGUUAGUACAUUUAUUCAUACUAUUAUUAAAUAUUUAUUUUUAUGUAAACAAAGAAGAUUUAAAACGUGAGGGAUCGAUGAUUUUGAAAUUUUUUUUAUUUUGAAACCCAUUUAUAAUAAUCAAUGAUAAAAUAGACAUUUCAAUCUUUAACUUAUAUUUAAUUUUAACCUACCUGAAGCAAAAGUAAUAGAGUGAGUGAGAACAAACGGUUUGGACAUUUUUGAAAGAAAAUAGACAUUUAAAGGGGUAAUUAUGAUGUUAUCAAAUUUAUAAGGGUAUUUAUGAUAUUUGUAAGUUUUGCAGGGGCAUAAAAGAAAUUGACCUAUCUAAUAUUGAUGUGAAGUGUAAUAUUGAUCUCAACAUUCAUAUCUAAUUAAUACAAAAACCAUCUUUGUUAAGACAUACGGCCCUCCAAAAGCUCCUAAGUUACGGGCAAAAUAAGUAUUUNUAUAUCAUGUUUUGAUUUCUUUUUUUUUCUCUCGGGAAAAUUCGUAGACUUGUUUUUUUUAUUAUCCUAAAUUUCAGAAAAAUUUUAGUCUCUUUGAUCUGGCAAGAUACUUGAUUAUUUUUGUUGAGCGAAAUUCGAUUACGCGGUAUUUACAAGCAUGAUUAGGAUGAUGUUGCAAAUAGAUUGUGGAUGAUCUGGACUAAUCGUAAUAGUUUAAUCAUGCAUUCGCUGGAUGUCGUAUGGUACAAUCGCCUAUCUGAUCAACUUUUCUUACUUUAUUAAUUUUCUUUCCGAACGUUCAUUUCUUUAAAAAAAAAAAAAAAAAUUAUUUUUGCUCGUUUAAUUUUAUCUUAGCAAAAUUUUUGUCUACCACAUCUAAGAAAUUUUACAUGUAGGAUAGACUUGACCCGUCCUGCAUUAUUAAAUUUCGGCUCGAAAUUAAUUUCAAGCCGAACUUGAGCCGAGAUAAGCUCGCUCGAGCUCGGCUCGUUUCCACCCCUACCAAAUAGGCAAAUAGGGACCAUGACUUUUAAGAAGCACAUGGCAUUGUCCAUAGGGAAGGACGUAAAACGUUAAAAAAUGCCCAUGCAUGAGAUUCGUGCAACGAGCUCGGAUCUCUGUGUAGAUCAGCACGUUAAAUACGACACAACUCGAACAUCGUGCUUUGUUGACUUUUAAAAAAUUAGAAUAUAAACAUGAUAUAAAUAUUAUUAAAUAAAAUAUAAUAUUAUUAAUAUAUUAAUGUAUUUUUAUUAUACAUAAAAUAUUAUUUUUAAUAAAAUAUUAUUAUAUUACUUGUACUAAUAGAAGUUAGUAAAAUUUUUAUUGAUAGUUUAUAUAUUUUUAAAAAAUAAAUUACCAACUAUAUAUAUUUUAUUUAUAUUGUCAAAAAUAAUUAUAUGUAAUCAUCAAAAAGAUAAAAUAAUUUUCAUCUUACACUAUAUAUACAAAGAAAAAAUAAAAUAAAAAUAUGUAUAUAUAUUUUUUAGUUGUAUGCGCUAUGGAUCAACAUCGAACGCACGUUUAAGAAAUGUCCAUAGCAGACACGUGUCCAAUACGGACACGCACGCACGUAUCCAACACGAAUGCGCGAGACUUAGAAAAGUGUAUGAUAUACAUAGUUAAGAAGAGAUAUGAAAUUAAAAAAAAAAUUAUAUUUGCCCGUCGAAAUAGCUCUAAUAUUAUAAAUAUUCCUUUAAAUUUUAAAAUAUUAUAUUUGACCGUCCAAUUAGCUCUAGUAUUAUAAAUAUCUCUUAAAAUUUUAAAAUAUUAUAUUUGCCCUAAAAAAGCAUGAAAAUUUUAAAAAUGCCUUCGUAACUAUUACUCUGUUAUGUUUAAGUAUAACAAAUUCAAAGUACUAAAUUCAUCCUUCAAUUCACUUUCAACAAUGCCCUCACAAAUUAUCUAAAGUUAAUUAAUAUAUGGAGAUUUUCUUAACCAUUAUAUAUUGCGAAAUAGCCCUCUGAAUUUGAUUUUUUUUUUUAUCAAAGUCAUUUUAAUAUUUAGUCCCUUGAAAUUCGAUUAAUUUUUGUCAAUUAAAUUACAAAUUUUAUCAAUCCAUUGGUGAUUCCAAUAAAUUUAAUAAUUUUAAUUACUUUAUAGAUGUUAAAACUAAAAAAAAAAAAUAAUGAGUAACAGCUAACAGCGCAAUUUAAGUUAAAUAAAAUUUUAAAUACAACUAACUAAAAUAAUUAAUGAACAAAACUUAGGAGCUAAAUAGUAUUAAAGGAUACCAGUGAACAAUGUUGGCUUUGAUGUCAAAUAAUAAUGAACAAAUUUAGGGAUUAAAUAGUAAAAUUAUGUAAUAAAUAUAACUUUCGAAAGCUUGUCAACUUAUGGGUAAAACCGACAUUUUAAAUUUUAACCUAUGUUAGGCCACCAUCUGACUAGAAAUAUAAGAAAAUUUAUAGGGUAUUUAUGAUAUUUACGAAAUUUAGAGGGGUGGGAUGAAAUUAACCCAAAAAAAACGAAGAGAUUGUCAAGAUAAAAAAUUAAAAUUAAAAUUAAAAUAGAGAGAAAUGAUAAUUAUUAUUAAUAUUUGCUUAUGCUUGAAUAUUAUAAAUAUUAAAAAUACUUAAAUUAUUGAUAACAACUAAUUAUUUUAUAUAAUUUAACAUCAUAUCAGAAUAAAAAAUCCUGAUUUCGAGUUUUUAUUAGACUCAUAAUUUUAUUUAAUUUCUUCUUAUUUAGUAUAAAUAUGUGUCUUGGGCCUAACACAUUUCCUGCAGGUUCAUUUUAAUUUUUUUUUACUAAAUUAUUAUAUUACCUUGUGAGUUCAAUCUCGGCUGGCAACUUAAAUUUUAUCUUUUAUAUUUUAUCUUAAUUAUCAAUUAAUUUAUAAAAACGAGAUGGUUACCAGUGCUUUGUAAAAUGUCUUUUAUUAAUAUAUUUAAGAGAAACAGGAAGUACAUAACUAAAAAAGAUAGUUAUAUUAUGCUGGUGCGAAGAACACGAGGAUAGAAGAAAAUUGGUUUUGAGUACAAAAGUAUAGAAUAGCUAUUUCAUCUUUUUUUCCAUUUGAAUAUAAAGGGCGGGAUAACCUCUUAUCUCAAUUAUUAUAUUCGUACCAAACGAAAUGUAAGAAGCGACAAAUUCACACUAUAUUAUUAUCACGAAUUUAAUCAUAAUCAAUUGUAUUAUUAUAAAAUAAAAUGUUAGGAGUGACCUGUCACAAAUACUCCAGUUAGAAGAUGGUGUUUUUAUAUAUCUUCAAUGUUUAGUACAUUUGGUAAGGACCCUAGAUGUUGAUUAAGAGUAGUGAGUACCAAAUCAAAAAAUAAAUUCAUAUAGUAAUGGUGCCAGUCGCUGACUCAGUUUGCGCCUCAGAUUUCAAAACUGCAGGUCUCCGUAUUAGCUUUGAUAAUGCUACAAUGCGACAAGAAGUUCUCGCGUUUUGAGUUAUAUAUAUAUAUAUAUAUUAUAUAUAUAAAUCUAUACGGAGGAGGAGGGAAAGGACGAGGAGUGCCCAAAUUAAACUUAGCGUGUUGUUGCAACUUCUUGAAUCUUGAUUGCGUGACCAGCUGCGCCAUGUGGAGCGUCCGAGUUCUCUCCGAGGAGACCGUGAAGCCCUCGUCCCGGACCCCUCCCGACCUUCGCACCUACAAGCUCUCGUGGCUCGACCAGGUCACCUACAUCCACCACAUCCCCGUCACCUUCUUCUUCCUCUUCCCCCCCUCCGACGCCGUUCAAACCCUCAGGAGCUCCCUCUCGAACACCUUGUCCCGCUUCUACCCGCUCGCGGGGCGCCAGAUCGGCGACACGCACGUCGACUGCGCCGACCAGGGCGUCGACUUCUUCGAGGCCCGGGUCGAGGCCCGCCUCGCCGAGCUCCUCGCGCGGCCGACCCCCGACCUCGACUUCAUGUUCGACCUCCUCCCCUGCAGCACCGCGGGGUGCCUCACCCGCGCCGACGGCCGCGGGAGCCUCCUCAAGGUCAAGGCCACGGCCUUCGCCUGCGGCGGCCUCGCCGUCGCCGCGUGCCUCUCGCACGCCGACGCGCGCUCGCUCUUCGCCUUCUUCCGAGCCUGGGCCGCCGAGGCCAGCGGCUCCGGGGCCGCGCCGGCCCCCGACUUCCGCGCCGCCGCGCGGCUCCCCCCGAACGAGAGCGCCGCGCCGAUGAAAGCCGGGGAGGAGGGCCCCCACGCGCCUCGGAACGCGCGGAAGAGGUUCCUGCUCGACGGGUCCAAGAUCCUCGCGGCGGCGCGGCGCGACUCCCCCGCGUCCGAGCGCGCCGAGGCCGUGGGGGCGCUGCUGUGGCGCUGCGCGCUCCGGGCGCGCGCGCGGCUGGGGGCGCCGGCGCGCGCCUCGGUGUGCUCGCCCCAGGUGGACCUGCGCGGGCGCCUGGACCCCCCGGCGCCCCACCACGCCUUCGGCAACCACUGCGUAAUGUCGGGCGCGGCCGCGACGGCGGAGGAGGUGUCGAAGGUGGUGGGCGGCGACGCGUCCGCGAGCGGGGCGUUGGAGGAGGAGCUCCGGAGGGCGGAGAAGAAGGUGGGCGGGGAGUUCGUGCGGCGGCUGCAGGGGCCCGAGGGUCACGCCGCGGCCUACCAGCUGGUGGGGGAGGCGGUGCGCGGGAGCGGGGGCGCAGCGACUGGGUUCGACCUCUACUUCCUCAGCGACUGGCUCGACCUCCCGGCGUACGACGUGGACUUCGGGUGGGGGACGCCCGCGUGGGUCGGGUACUCGCGGACGAAGGCGAAGAACCUGAUGCUGCUCAUGCCCGCGGCGCCGUCGGUCGGGGAUCCGACGGCGGUGGAGGCGUGGGUGGCGCUCGAGGAGAAGGAGCUGGAGGAGUUCGAGCGCGACGAGGAGCUCGCCUCGUUCCUCGUCGCCGCCUCCUCCGAGCCCCUUCCGGUUCGGGAGGCGUGAUGAGAUCGACGAAGCGGCCAUACAUAAUCGGGUUUUAUUAGCUAGCUGACUCUUAAGUACGUAGCAGCAGCAGAUGCAGUAGCAGUAUCAGUAGCAGUAGCAGUAGCAGUAGUUAUGAGUGUCUCGUAUAUUGUGCGUGUUGGGUAAGUUUGAUUAAUUUAGGGGCAUGUUUGGUUCAUGAUUGAAUUAGAAAUGAAAAUUAAAAUUGGAUUGCUUUGAAAUGGUAAAUAGAAUGACGAAUCAUCCAAAAAUACUUGAUUCAUUAUUGGAAUGGAAAUCAAAAUGAAAUUUUAAAAUUUUUUAAAGAGAGUUUUGAUUAAGAAAAAAAAAAAGUGAUGAAGGAAAAGGAGGUAGGUGUUGAUGAAAGAGAAUUUUGAAUAGUUUAUUUUGGAAUGAACCAAUCUGAAAUUUAAAGUCAGAUUGGAUCAUAAAUGGAUUUGGCCAUUUUCAUUCCGGAGUGGAAUGAAAAUCGGAAUCCGAUUCCUACAAAACAAACGGCAACAAUCAGAAUUUAUAAAUUUCAUUUCGAUUUCAUAGUCUAAAAUAGGUGAACCAAACAUGUCCUAAAUGUAAAGAUUUAAAGAAUGUAUUUCGUGCGCUCGUAGCUGAAUUAGUUCGGAGGUUUGGCUGUCAAGGGAACUCCUCUGUCCGGCCGGCUUGAACAGUAAUCUAAGUUGAAAUUGCGGAUUCCGUACCUCUCGGAGGCUUAAAACACAUAUGGGUGCAAUAUCAUUUUGGAUUGUAAGUUUACAAUUUUUCUCAUUGAAUAACUUUUUGUUUUCCCGGCUUAAUUGCCACCUUGCCUUAUUUUUAAUUUUCUUUUUACUAAAAGAACUAAAAAAAGAUCCGUAAACCUUACAAUCUUUGAACAGAUUGUAGAAAUUAUAAAUUAAAAGAAAAUUUUCAAAUACCACUCAUGUGGUUUUAUAUUUUCUCACUUUAGUACUGACUUAAAGUGUAUUAAUUUAAUGUCCCGUAGUUUUAUUUUUAUCUUUUUAUUAUUGAUUUUUCUAAUUUUUUUCGUUAAAGUAGUGACAAAGUUCGAUAAAUUUAAAUAGGAUACCUGAAAUUUUUUGUACAUAAUUUAUCGAAAUAUUAAUAGAAAAACUAACGAAAAAAUAAAAAUAAAAAUACAGAAUAUUAACUUGAUAUAUUUUAAAUUAUAUAGUGCUAAAGUGAAAAAAAUGUGAAACCACGUCAGUCAUAUUUAAAAUUUAAAAGUGAAUAAUGACCUUUACUUUUUCAGCAUCAAUUUUCACUGCAGCGUUAAUUAAAGUAAGUGCGAAAAUAAUACAGAACCAAAGGCAACUGUACGUACUGUUGUUUCUUGUGCCCAAAGUAGAACAGCUAGCAAAUAAUCGAGACGUAGAUCUCUUAUUUGAAAAAACAAAAAACGGAUUAAACGAUUGCAUUAAGAAUAAAGAACGGAGACCGUAAUCUUAUUCAACAGCAACAACAUGCAUGCAGCAGCCAAUCACCAAAACAUGCAUAAUCGCCAAAACGACCAAGACAUGUUUCGUCAGAUCAGGAAUCAAAAGAUUAAUUUAGACUCAGCAAUACAUCUAAGCUCGUCCCGGAGGAGGAGUGACGACUCUGAAGGGAGCCGCGAACUGGAGGAGCUCCUCGUCUUUCUCGAACUCGGCCAUCUCGCUCUCCUCCAUCGUCACCCACACUUCCACGCCUCUCGGGUCCACCUCCGGCGACCGCGGCAUGAGCACCGACAGGUUUCGAACCCGCGCGGUGGUCCCAACCCAGGCCGGCCUCCCCCACCCGAAGUCGACCUCGUACAAGGGGAGGCUCAGCCAGGAGCUGAAGAAGUAAUGGUCGAAGCCCUCGAACCCCCGGCUGCGUAUCACCCCGUCCACGAUCAGCGCGUAGGCCGACGAAUGCCCGUCCGGCGCGCGCAGCUUCCGGGUGUGGUCGGCGUUCAUCAUCUUCGCCGACCGGCCGAGCUCCUCCUCGAGAACGCCCCUCGCGGCGCCGCUCCGGGCCAGGACGAGCUCCACCGUGGCCUUCGCGGCCGCGGCUCCCGCGGAGAAGCAGCGGUUGCCGAAGGAGGCGUUGGGCGCGGGGGGCGCCAUGCGCGGGCGCGUGUCGACCAGGAGCGACGCCACCGAGGCCCGCGCGGGCGGAGGGCGCGCGCGCAGCGCGCAGCGCCACAGCAGCGCGCACACGGCCUGGACUCGCGUGGUCGAGCUCGGGAGCCCCGAGCGGAGCGCCGCGACCUCGGGCCCGGCGAUCACGAAGCCCUUGCGCACGAGCGGCGGCGCGCCGGGGGGCCGCGCCUGGUCCUCCUCCGGGACGACGUCCUCGCUCGGCGGGAAGAGCGCGGCGCCGUCGAAGACGGGGUCGGGUGCGGCGGAGGCCCAGGACUGGAGGAAGAGGAAGAGGGAGCGGCCGUCGAGGAUCUUGUGGCAGGCGCAGACGCCGAGGGCGAGGCCGCCGCAGCGGAAGGCGGUGGCUUGGACGGAGAGGAGGGGGGCGCCCUCGGCGCCGGCGGCGGAGCAGGAGCGCGCGCAGGGGAGGAGCUUCUCGACGUGGUGGAGGCCGCGGAGGCCGCGGAGGAAGUCGGCGAGGUCGGCGUCGGCGCGGGCCUCGAGGAAGCGGGCGCCCGCGUCGCAGCAGCGGACGUGGGUGUUGAGGACGAGCUCGCCCGCGAGCGGGUAGAAGCGGGAGAGCGCGCGGGGCAAGGAGGACUUCAUGGCCCGGAUGCGCUCGGCGGCAGGUGUUUGGGGGGAGCCCCGGUAGAAGAAGGCGACGGGGAGGUGGUAGACGCGGGCGAGCUGGUCGGCCCACCCCAGCGUGUAGCUCCGGAGCUCCGGCGGGGUGGGCGUGGACGGCUUGAUAGUCUCCAUGGACACUACCUCAGCCUCAAACUCCAAACUUUCGUCCAUUGUUUCGUGCUCGCGCGAGUACACAGAUCGAUGGAGAGAGAGACAGAGAGGGAGGACGCCGGGGACACGGGAAGUCACUAAAAAAAAAAAAAAAAAANAAAAAAAACACCUCCCGAUGUGAUAUUCGGCAGGGACGCAAAGGGUGCGGAUCAGGAUCAGGAUGGGAGAGUGCGGACUAUUUUUUAUUUUAUUUUUUACGAAUUAUUUUUUAUUUUAUUUUUUUUUUGCUCUUACUUACAUUCUUAUUUGGAUUGAGAAUUUUUAGCGAAUUUUUGACGAAUCAACAUUCAACACAGAUUAAAAAAAUAAAAAUUUUGUUUCUCAUUUUAUUUACUUGACAGAUCGAAACGAAUUCAUGACGAAUUAUAUUUUUUUAUAUUUUUUGUUCCUACUUAUCCUCUCAUUCGAGACAAAUCGAGGCAGGAGCGCUCCACCAACCCGGAUCCAUCUGUGUCCCUACUACUCAGGAGCACGAUGUCUCCGUAUUUAUUUUUUAUUUGGCUAAAUUCCCAAACUAUAAGACGUAUAAUAUAUAUUUUGGUUCUCAAAGUUUAAUCUUUUAUAUUUUUAGCUCAAUUUUUUAAAAUUGGUUACAAUCAAGAUUCAUAACCUAAUUUACUUAAACCCUUUUAUUUAAACAUAUAACAAUAAAAUAAUUUAAUGCAACUCAAAUAUUUACUUCAAAUUUUAAAUUUUAAAUUUUAAGUUAUUAAAUUUAAGCGCUCUUACAUGUACCCCCAUUCCCCAAUGAAGUAUUGAAGUGUAUCUUAUAAUACUAUUGAUUAUGUGACAAUAUUAUUAUUACACACUAAUUAUUAAUUACUAAACUUCAAAUAUUAUUAAUAGACCCCAUGUGCAAUUCUAAACUUUUUAAUCCCUCCAUAUAUGCAUGUAAACUUAUCGAUAAAAUUAUAUGUACUCAAAAAUAGGAAACCCAAACCAUUUCUCGUUAAAUUUUAUCUUAGGCCAAAUUACAGAAAAUUUUUCUCUAAAUAGUUACCUUUUUACCUUUUCUUUUUAAUUUUUAAAAAUAUACAUUUUGGCCCUUUAAGAUUUGAGAAAUAUUUUUAAAAAGGUAUGGUGUUAAUAGAGAGAGUAAAAUGACAUAUUAUCAUUACUUCUUUAUAAAAAAAAUAAUUUUUUAAUAUAUAUAUGUUAUUUUGAAGAAUAUUUUCUGUAUAAAUUAGAAGAAAUAGACGGAACAAUGAUGAAACUUGAUGGAGGGAGGUUAAAUUGAAUAAUUUGAAAUGUUGGAGGAAAAAAAAUAUAAUUUUUAAAAGUUAUAGUAAAAAGUGGAAAAAAAAAAAGUUUACCUAUAAGGUUUCAAUAAUUUAGCCUUUAUCUUAUCUUUGGAUUAUUAACUUUUAGCUUUUAAUACCCUUUUAAAUGUUGAUCAUCCUCUAGUCUUGCACUAACAUUUAAUAUAGCCUCGUAAAUAUGACCAUACAGUUACUGCACUAACAUUAAACGCGGAGAUCGACUGUCCCUAGAAUAAAGUGACAAAGAGUUUGACGGUUGGUACCCGAGGUUUCAAGUUCGAAUUCUAGUUGAUUCAAUUAUUAUCUAAGUUUAUUUUUAAAUAAAAUAAACAAAACAGAUAACGCGAGUUACGUGAUAUCUUAAAAAAAAAAAAAAAAAAAAAAAAGCACUGAGUGCAGUGCAAGGAACAUUGGCGAGUGGUCAUUGAUUGAUCUGUCCACAGCAAAUAAUAUCUUAUCCCAACUGUGCUUUAGAAUAAAUAUUGUGCUCAGAAUCAAUAGGAAUCACGUGCAAAGGAAUAGUCUAAAUAGAAAAUGAAUAUAAUAACCUAAAAAAAAAGUUUCAUCUUUGUGCCUGAAAAAGAUAAUAGCUAGAUAUCUUUUCAAAUUAAUUUGGAAAACAUGUAUGUAUAUAUAUUGAAUCCUUCUGAUCGAGUUUAAUUUAAUUGAUCCGACUAAUUUUAUAUAAACGUUUAAGAUAUUGGAUUUAGUCACUUGACAAAUUUUGCUAAUUAAUAUCAUUUUAGAACACAAGAAAUAGGUAUUCAAAUAUUAUUAUUUUUUGUGACUAUGUUAUUGAAAUUCGGAUAAUGUCAUUCACUUGAUUUUUAUCAUAUAUGGAGUAGCGUUAGUGUGCUAUUAGGAGUACGGUGGCUUUCGUGCUUAAUUUUGUGCUAUUUUUAAUUAUGGAACUUUCGAAUUGACGAUCGGUUUCGCUAGAUUUGAUCUAACGUAUUUGAAGUACCAAAAAAAUAAAUGUUAUGAUUUUUUGAUAUAAUUUAUUUAUUGAUCAAAAGGGUUAAUUAAAAAUCAAUUUAUUUUUAAUGGUUGAUGUGUAUGCUAUUUCUAUCGGAUAAAAUUUUGAUAGAAAAAUUUUGUACUAACUACAGCAUGAUCAAAAUCUUUGAUCGAAAUUUUUAGUACUAUAUUAUGAUUUUUUAUAAGAUUUUUAUUUUUAGCCAUCCAUAUUUAGUUAUUUCGAUCACUAGGUAAAUAAUAUCGAAAAUCUACAAAAUUUAUUUUCUACAUACUUCAAAUUUGCUAGAUCAAAACUAACGGAGCCGAUCGUCGAUUUAAAAUUUCUAUCAUCGAAAAUAGAUUUGAAGCACUGAAACCUCCAUAAUCCUAAUCGUACACUAGUCCUACUCUCUCUCUCUCUCUCUCUCUCAAUAUAUAUAUAGAAUUAUGCUACUAUACUAUCAAUAGUACCAAGUUCUUGGUACUAUUGAGUUUUCGGCCGUUGAAUGAANAUAGAAGCUCAAUUCUAUAUAUAUAUAUAUAUAUAUAUAUAUAUAUAUAUAUAUAUAUAUAUAUAUAUGUGGCUACGAAAAAGUGAAUGCGUCUAAAUUUCGGAUCACCGAUAUUGAAUGAUGCAAGAAAAGUUUAUUAGCCUCGAUGGAAUGCGACGAUCGGAGGGCGUUUCAUUUUUGGUGUUUCGAAUUCGAGCGCCAUUAGAUCAUAGAGCACGUUCAAUAACUUGGUUAUUUGUUUUUUGAGUGAAAAUUAAGCAAUUAGACUACAAAACAUUCAACUGAAAAGAGCUUAGAUCGGAGAGUUUCAACCACAUUCAGAAUUAGUACAGCACGAUCUCACGCGCAUCAUAAAAUUCAUCACCUGUCCGUCUUUAACAGUGAUACAAACUUAUAAAGACAUAAUUUUGGAUCCUUUCAAGAACUACUGUGGAAGCCGGAAACAUCACAACGUGUGAAAACCAAAGUUUAAAGAUUUUCUAAGAAUAAAUAUAAUCAGUAAACCGAGUAGCCAUAGGCAAGAGACUAAAAGUCACUUAGCUUUUUAGAUUCUCUAAAAACAAUAAAUCAUGAGUCUUUGUUCGCAAUGAUAAGGAGUCUUACUUCUUCGCUAAGCCCCGAUCUCAAAAAAAUAUUAUAUUCCAUUUCUGUAAGUAUACAGUAGAUCCGAACUAGUAAGAUUGUCGCGAGCGUUUGAUUUUGCCAACUUAGUUGCGAUUCUAUCAUCGAGAGACAAGAACCAUACUAUUCACUCCGUAGCUAGCCGAAGAGCCAAAUGAGCUCUCCAACUUCUUCUCCCUUCACGAAAAGGAAGCUUCUUUUUGUGAUUAGAAUAAUUAUAAGGAGUCCGCCUGGGAUACUAUCGAUUAUAUUAAGGAUUUGAUGCUAUCGAGUUUUCUACCGUUAGAUUUAAUCAUUUGAUUAUUUUUAUCCGUUAAAUUAUAUUAUUCAAUCAACCACUCACUCAACCCUAGAGUGUCUACAUCAUCCUAACCACACAUUUUUCAAUCCAAAGGAUAAAAAAUUAAUAGCACCAAUAGCUUGGUGCUAUUGAUAGUAUUUCAGUCUAGUUCUAAUUAUGAGUAUUUACGAGCUUUUUAAGAUUCUAUUAUUGAGGAAUGAGGAUGGCCCAAAAUGCAUAAUUAAUAACAAGAAGUUGUGCUGCACUGAGUUAGCACUAGAAUAGCAGAAAUUUUGGUUGAUUCCUCAAAUAGUUAAUGAAAGUGACAGGCACUGCAAGAUUGUUGCCCAGACAUUGGCAUUUCCUUCAUUUUUUGUCUCACAUUGAAAGUUUUGCCUGGUGAAAAAUGCUUUGGUACAAAGAUAUUAUCUGUACUAAUUAUUGAUCGGUAAAAAUGUUAGUAAAGAUCAUGCAGAAAUAACUAUUUAACUUGCACUUACUACCGAUAACCUCGUUAAGCGAGGGUGGACCAGAGACACAGUCUGUGUGCUCUACAGGGCCCACGAUGAGUCAGUGGACCAUCUAUUCACUCAAUGCGUUUUUACCAAGUACACCAUAGUGAUGGGACUCGAGGACGUUCGGGCGGAGGAAGUAGGUGACGGCGUGCUUGUAGUUUGGGAUAAGUAGAUGGGUGGAGCUACGGUGCGCGCUAGGAGGAAUGGACUUUCAGAAUUGGUCGCAUACUGAUGGACGAUUUGGAAGGCCCGGAACAAUCAUGUUUUUUGUAACCUACUGUUUGACCCUGAUUUAGCCGUUCAAAGGCUCAAGGCACUCCUAACUUCGUGGAAAGAUCUGCUAUGAAUUUUUUUUUUUUUUUUGGGGUGUUGUUUUUCUUGAGGUUCUUGUUGCCUCACCUCUGUAGUCAAAUUUAUCUAUUCAAUAAAUGAAGCAGGUAGCGUGCUACCUAUUCUCAAAAAAAAAUACUUCUUAUUUUGAUUACUACAGAAAUAUUCAUUUACUUGAUUUUAUGUUUUGUAAUUAUGAGAAACUAUUGUGUACACUUGGUGUACUAGUACAUUCUAAUGCUGCAUUUUUAUUGAUUAUUUGUUUUAUUUGAUUUUUCUAUCUCUAGCAGCCGAUAUGUUGUCGUUUUUUAGUUAAAAAUUGAGUAAUUGAAUUAACAACAUGAACUGCAGUAAAAAAAAAAAAUCUAUACAACAUUUUCAAAACAUGUUUACAAAAAAGAAAAUUUUCUUUUAGUACGAGCAUUAACAUAUUAAUUAAUAAUAUACAAAGAUAAUAUUCUGGAGAGCUUAUUGUUGUAUUGCUCUAAGUAAAAAAAUAGUAAAUGCUUUGGAUUAUCUUAACUAUCAUCCUUUCCGGUCACUACAAUAUAAUUGGUUAAUUAUUUUGUUGUUAAAUAUUGUUAGUACUCAUAAUAUAGAGCAUUCCGAUUGAUUUAUAGAUUCAACUCAAAACAUAAUGUGUAAUUUUUUCAAAAAAAAAAAAAUAUUAAGAACCUAUAUAAACAAUAUUUUGGAGGACUCUAGGGAAUGGGAAAAUUUUUAUCACUGUACGAUAAGUUUUUCGUUUGUUUUGUUAAGUGAUACUAUGAUGGACAUAUCGCAAUGGAUAUAUUAAUUACGGUUACUCCAAAAAAUAUAUAUUUUUACGUCCUCAACCUCAUUAUAUAUAUAUAUAUAUAUAUAUAUAUAUAUAUAUAUAUAUAUAUAUAUAUAUAUAUUCCGAUCAUUGAUUAUUAAUCUUUAAAAUGAUUAAAUUCUCAUUAUCUUCUCCCUCCCCAUGCUUGUCCAGCCCAGAAAAACUUGCUUUUUAGCCCGGGCUCAUGCGAUACCCACUUUGGGCCCGAUCCAAUAACGGCCCAAUAUCGAUGGGCUUGGGUUUUUAUGCCUUGUUGAGGCCCAAUCCUAGUAAACCCAAAAGGCCAAUUGCUUGGUUAUUACUAAUUGGUCUAAGUCGUCAGGAACUUAGAAAAAUUUCGGUUCCACCCAAAUCCGUAGUACGGAUUUUUGUGAGCAAAAUUACUAAGUCCGUGACAAAGCGCUUGUUUAGCUCGGCUCGUGCAACAUCUUUUCCGCGUAGAGGAAGAUGCUUAGUAAACGAAAAAAAAAGAAAAGAAAAAAGACAAGAGUUUCGGAUUUUGGUCUGUAGUUCUAGACUACUGGCGAAUUUUAAUUUAUGAUUAUUUCAAAUAAACUUUAAUUUUUUUGAACAUAGGUUAGUUUAUUGGUUAUUAAAGAUUUAGAUAAAUUCAACUAUUAUUUUGUUAGAUCUAACCAUAAAUUCUAAAUACAGAUUUCGUUAACUGUUAAGGCUAGCAGCUAAUAACAAUGUUAAUUUUAAAAUCCUCAAUUAAUUCUCAAAAUUCCAACUAAAAAAAUGUUAAAAAGCAUUUACUAAUAAGUCUAUUUUUAACCUGGUCUAUUGGUAAGGUGUCCUCAUUAAUUAAUUAGUUAAAAAAAAAAAAAAUGUUCAUCCACAGUAGCGUACUCCCCGUAACGCCAUCACCAUCACGCUUGCUAGAUGUUCAAACUAUCAAUCUAGAUGUUCAAAGAGAAGUUAUUGCCUGCACCUGUUGUUUAAGGAGUACGUCUGGUAUACUUCUAGAAGCACGGAGCGCUCCGUGCUUCCAAGUUGUUUUCGAUGUUGGGACUUUCGAAUUGACGAUCAGCUCCGUUAGAUUUGAUCUACAGUAUUUUAAGUAUUUAGAGAAUAAAUUUUGCAAUUUUUUGAUAUCAUUUGCCUAGUGAUCGAAGUGGCUUAAAAUUAACGACUGAAAAUAAAAAUCUUACAAAAUAUGAUGAUAUGACAUUAAAAUUUUAGAUCAAAAAUAUUGAUCUUGUUUUCUAUAGUAUAAAGAAUUUUCUAUCAAAAUUUUAUGUGAUUUGAAUAUUUCUACACCGCUAAACUUGCAAAUGGCACACCAUGGCCAUUAAAAUUAUUGAUUUUGAGCCUCUUUAAUCACUAGGCAAAUGAUAUCGAAAAAUCACAAAAUUUAUUUUUUACGUACUUCAAAUACUUUAGAUCAAGUUUAACGGAGCCGAUCAUCAAUUCGAAUAUCCCAAUAUCGAAAACGAUUUGGAAGCAAGAAAGCUCCGUGUUUCCAGAAACAUACCAGUUUACUCGUUGUUUAAGUACAAUUAAUACACCGCACCGUCAAAAUUCUAUCAUAAAAAAGUCUACCGUAUCAAUUGAUACAGUUACACUCUAUUUGCAAUUCGAAUUGUAGCAGUUUGAUUCGAGUAUAUCAAACUAAACAAUAUACUUACAUCAAUAUGCAGUUAUAAUUCCAGUGGCUAAAUUACGGAAAACCCUCCUGUCAAAACUUGCUUUUUCACUUUCCCCUCCUGUCAUUUAAAAAUCUAUACUUUGCUCCCUUAUAAAAUAAAAAAUGUUCACAAGGGGGUAUGGUGUGACAAAAUGACCAUUUUGUCCUUCGCCAUUUUCGUCUUCUCCCUCAUCCUCCUCAUCCGCGGCGGAGGAGGCCGACCUCGGGCGGGACGCAGGCGACGACGCCGUCGUCGAGGAGGACGAUCUCGUUGAGGGUGUCGGCCAUGCGGCCGAUGGAGGGCGGGAUGCAGCUGCCGAGUUUGUUGUGGGCGAUGACGACAAUGGAGGCCGGGGAGUCGCCGAGGUUGGAGGGGAUGGGCCGGCGGCGGCGGAGGCGGUUGGAGUUGAGGAAGAUGGCGUCGAGGGGCAGUCGAAGAGGAGGUUGAGCUCGUGGAGGAGGGCGAGGCCGGCGAGGGCGCCGUCCCGGAAGCCAUCGAAGCAACAAGAAAGAGGGGCGGAGGGGUAUUUUUGGCAUAAAAAUAAAUAUUAUAACGGAAACCUAACAGAACCCUAACGGUAGGAGGUGAAGUGCACAUUUUUUAUUUUACAAGGAGGCAAGGUGUAGAUUUUUAAAUGACAAGGAGGGAAAGUGAAAAAGCAGGUUUUGACAGAGGAGUUUUCUGUAAUUUAGCCUAGUUUUAAUUAUAUAUAACCAAAUAGUUUCUUAUUAGAUAUAUUUUAUUAGUUCAGCGAGAGUAAAAAAUUAAAUACAAAUAUUUUUAGAGAUUUUUCCAGGAUAAGUGAUAUGGCAAGAAGUUGUAGCAACUAACUUUCCAUUCACAUAAGAUGGAUAUUAAGUAGUUGGUGAUUCCAUCCUAUCAAUUAAUCAACAAAUACAAGUAGGAAUUGACCAACACUGUCUAACUGGAACAAAUAUUUUAUUUUUCAACUGGGGACUUGCAAAUGGAGACAGCCAGACAGGGAGCAAAGGCUUUUGGUAGAUGAUAUGCUUCUCUCACUUUGUCACCUGAUGACUUGUACAUCUAUUUAUUAGUGAACUAUUUUUAGAGUCCCGCUGCUAUACUCUUGUGACGACGUUCAUCUUCGUACUCAUAAAUUAUUUUCGAUGAUAGAGUUUUUGAAUCGACGAUCCAUACUGUUAAACGUUAUCUAGAUCAUUUAAAAUUUUUAGAAAUCAAAUUUUAUAAUUUUUUGACAUUAUUUAUCUUACGAUCAAAAGCUCGCAAAAUUGAUAAUUUUUAACGACCGGUAUAAAAUAGUUGCUAGUUUAACGAUAUAAAACAAUCAGAAUCGGUUAAAUUUUUGAUAGAAAUUUUAUUCACUAUUUAGAUAAAAGAUCAAUAACUCCGAUCUUAAAUUGAAGAAUUCAAUCAUCUAUGUUUAGGAUAUCAUUCUAUUUCGACUGUUUAUUUAUACCCAUCGAUGGAUUUUAUCGUGACUUUGAAAAAUUACGAAAUUUAUUUUUUAAAAAUUUUAAAUACUCUAUAUCAUAUUUGACGGAGUGAAUCGUCGAUUCAAAAUCUCCAUCAUCGUAAACGAUGAGUAUGAAGGGCUCUAUACUCGUAAGAGUAUAGUAAUCAUACUCCUAUUUUUAGGAAAAAUUUCUUCAAUACCCUUCCAAGCAGCUCUAAUUUCAUGAAUACCCUUCAAAAUUUUAAAAUUUCAUAUUUGCCCUUCAAAAGUAUGGAAAAGUUUCAAAAAUACCCUCACUGCUAGCAAUCUGUUAUAUUAGUUUCAAAAUACCAAUUGUACCCUCUAUUUUAAUUUAAUCACCACUCUCACAAAUUUUUUUUUGAAUAUAUGGAGACCCCCUCAAUUACAACCCAUUGUGAAAUAGCCUUCUAAAUUUAACUUUUUAAUUAAAGUCUUUAAAUUGAAUGAUUUUUUAUUAUAAAAUUAGAGAUUUCAUCUAAUCCAUUAAUGAUUCAAACAAAUUUAAUAAUUUUAAUAACUUCGUAGUAUAUAAAAUUAAAUAAGUUUCUGUUCAAAAAAGAAAAUUAAUAAAAACUUCAAGGAUUUAUUUAAAUGACCUAUAGUUGAUAGUUUUAGUAUAAAUAUCAAAAAAAUAAGUGAAAAAAAUUUGAUUUUUAAACAAAAAGUGAACAAAUUAAGGGUAAAAUGGUAAUUUCAUAUUUUGAAAUCAAAUAAAAAAAUGCUAUGCCGACAGAAGUUAGCAAAAAGUAAUGGCGAGGAUAUUUAUGAAAGAAAUAUUGUAUUUAGAGGGGUAUUUGUGAAAUUUAAAAAAUUAAAAGGGUAGUUAUGAUAUUUCAUAAUUUUGUGAGGGUACAAAUAAAAUUAACCCCUAUUUUUAUGUAUUCACCGGCAAACUGUACAAGCUGGUGGAUUGAUCUAGGUAGAUCAAAUCGGUGAAUGCAUUACUAGGAGCAUCUCGGCUAUUUAAUCGACAUAUAAAUAGCGAUUCUCUUUCCUUCUACUUCUGCAUGGCGGAUCUAAUUUUCGAGAGUAAGAUCUUAUCCAGAGCAUUCUAUUUUCUUAUCACAGUUUGAGUUGAUAAAAUUAGAAUAACGAUGGAGUUUUCUCUGAGUUUAGGAGAAUUUCCGCUAGUGUUCCUUUGGUACUCCUCUACGAGGCCAAAGGGGAAAGAACCAAUCUUUUUUUCUUUCAAAAAUUUUUGGCAUCGAUUUUUUUUUAGUUCUUUUUUUCCCCACUUUUGAUCCGACCUAACAUCUUACUGUGAAAUUGGUUUCAUAACCUACAGUACUAUGAUCUCAAAAUAUACUAUAACAUUACACAAUAAAUUUUAAAAUGCUAACUCCUGAUAUAUAGUUUUUAAGACUAUGAACAAAUAAUAAAUUUCAAAUAUUAUUUAAGUUUUUUAGAUAUUGCUCGUCACGUCCAUUAAUUAGAUAAUAUUAAUAAUCCAAUAUUUAGUGUGGUACAUAUGAUGUACGGAUGCACAGGGUUCGUGCAACAAUCUCUCAGUACGACCAGCGAAUAGGGGCCCACAAUCUGACCGACAUGCGCCAUCGAUCUACUCAAUGCGCUGCUUAAUUCAACUAAUCAUCAUUAAUAAAAACCAAACAACCCACACUUUUUAAAGCACCUGGGCUAUACUGCUACGUGUACCUUAGAAUGUACCCCAGAAUACUACGGCUUUUUGAAUGAUUUGAAAUUUUAAUCCGAUAAAAAUUUGAAGUUUAAAAGUUACAUUAAUUUUAAGGGCUCGAAAACAUUGAUUAACCGAUAACAUUUUGGUUCAUUUUGGAUAUGGAUGGUAAUAAUAGAAGUUACUUUUUUUGGAAUAAGAUUUAAAAUAUUUUUUUUACAGCUUAUUAUUUUACGGACUAGAUGAUCGAUAUACCUCAUCGUAUUUUCUUAUUUAUUUUAUUUUUAAAUUAUUAUUAAAAAUAUUAAAAUAUUAUAUUUUUAUUUGGUUUUUAAUGCUUCGCGUCAAUAUUUUUUUUUAUUUUGAGAGAAAGAUAGCAUGCUAUUCGUUUAAUUUUUUAAAAAAUAAAUUUUAUUGAAAAUAUAAAAUAACUAAACUUUGAAUUUAAAAUUUAUGUUAUAUAUGAAGUGAUCUCUAUAGUGUUUAAUCUUAUUUCCUCCUCUUCUCUGCUUGUACAGGUCAUAAUUUACUUUCAUUGUUGUAAUGGUUUUACAAGCUUAAUAAAAAUUUAGAAACAAAUUUUAUUUAAACAAAAAUCAUGUAAUUUAUAAUAUUAUAAAAUUUUAUUUAAUUUUUAGCGACAAAUCUUGUAAAAAGUAUAUAUAUAUAAAAAAAAAUAGGACACAACGUUUUGAAUCGCAAAAUAAUAAACCAAUGCUUAGCUUUUUUAUAUAUAUUUUUUUAUAGGAUCUCGUACCAUCACGGACAUGCUCUCUCAUCUAGUCAUCUCAUCAAAAACAUUCCAAAAAGGGCCGAAAUAAUAUUUGGUAUUGACGGGACAUUGAAAUUUAUCUAAUGUAAGAGUUACUUUUUUAUUUUUUAAAAAAAAUUAUAAAACUAAUAUGAUAAAAUUAGAUUAUUACAAUCCCAAUAAUAUUUUAAUUUUAAACUAAACAAAAAUAUGUAUGUGAUAUAUUCUCCCCCGCAAUCCCAACGAAAUUAAGCUUUAAACUUCUAAUCUUUUACCAGAAAAUGAGAAAAAAAAAAUUCUACUAAUCAAUUCGCAGGGUACCAUUAUUAGUCAGAUUAGAUUAGGAAGAUUAGAUCAUUAAAGAUUAAAUUAAGAAGAUAAGAAAGCGCUGCAGGGACAAGCUGGCACACCGCGCUCACCACCACCCUCACACUCACCAUCAGCAUCGCCACCGCCAACAACAGCAACAAAAAGAAGCGCCUUCCCCAUCCCCCCCCCCCCCAAUCCCGUGCUUCCCCCUCCCCUCUCCCAUGGCCCCACCCCUUUUCCCCCUCCCUCACUCCACCCAGAUUCCCACCCUAUCUCCCCCUCCUCUUCCGACGACGACGACGACGACGACGACGACGCCAUGCCCAGCGUAGGGAUCAAGCUCUACAGCGUCCUCUUCAAGCUCCUCCUCCGCCACCGCCUCCACCACCUCCCCGGCUCCGGCUCCUCCUCCGGCGGCGGCGGAGGAGGAGGCGCCGCCGCCGCCGGAGGAAACCCUUUCGGGGUAUCAUCACGCCCCGACGCCGAUGGCGUCGCCACCAAGGACAUCCACAUCGACCCCCUCACCUCCCUCUCCGUCCGCAUCUUCCUCCCCGAUCCCUCCCUCUUCGCCCCCUCCCCCCACCAGCACCCCCCUCUCCGCCGCAACAGCUUUCCCGCUCCGCCGCCCUCCGCUGCGGCCCCCGAUCUGUCACGCCGCGCCAGCUUCGGCGCCGCCGCGUACCGCGGGUACCUCCCCGCCCUCGAUGGGGGCGGGGGCCGGGGCCGCGCUGCGGCGGCGCGGCGGCUCCCCGUGGUGGUCCAGUUCCACGGGGGCGCGUUCGUCUCCGGGAGCGCCGAUUCGGCCGCGAACGAUCUCUUCUGCCGCCGGAUCGCGCGGCAUUGCGAGGCGAUCGUGAUCGCGGUCGGGUACCGGCUCGCGCCGGAGUGCCGGUACCCCGCGGCUUUCGAGGACGGGCUCAAGGUGCUCAAUUGGCUCGCGAAGCAGGCGAAUCUGGCGGAAUGCAGCAAGUCGAUGGGGAGCAUCAGGCUCGGGGCCGGGGGCGGCGCUGGGGCCGUGACCGCGAAGGCCGGUGUGCAACGCUACAUUGUCGAUGCCUUCGGGGCCUCGUUGGUGGAGCCGUGGCUCGCGGCUCAUGCCGAUGUCUCCAGGUUCCUUUCUGCCCUCCUGCUGUUCUUUAGCAUUGCUCGCGCAAUUGUGGUUUGAUCUGUAGAAUAUUCAUGGUCACUUUCAUUUUAUUGCAUCGUAGGAUAAAGAUGUGUAGUUUGUUUGAAUUGCAAAAUAAUACUGCAAACUAAAAAAACAAAAAAAUGGUGAUGUUGUAGGAUUAUGGUGAGAAUUAAGGGGUGGAAGCUUGUGCUCAAAAUUUUAUGCCCAUUGGUACCGGACUAGGUGAUGCAAUUGGUUAAAUUAGCUCUGAAUGCUUAUGACACGCCGAACAAUGUCUAGUACUGUAAGUUUUAAUAGCUUAAGGAUAGCUGAAGAAAGAGGGCUAAGAAUACGCCUUCUCAUUGUCUUCUUAUGUUCAUUUUGUACUUAAAUAUGUGGCUAGUUGAUUGCGCAGGUUCAAAGGUAUAACCAGUUAUUGCUACUUGCAGAAUAUAAUCCUAUGGAGUUUUAGCUGUGUUGAAUAUGAUGGUCUUGUGAGAUAUCUGUGAUCUUGUAUGUAUGUGCUUUUGAAAGUUGCUUGAAAUUGAAUAUUGUGUAGGAUUAUUAAACUAUAAAUAGGGAUUUCAUGUACGAAUGACGAGUAUUGCAGUCAAUGAAGUUUUUUUGAAGGAUUAACUGCAUACAUAGAUUUAGGAGGUUGCCAAUUUGUAUCAUGUUAAUGAUCAUGAGGAUAAUAAGCAUAGAAAUAUGAAUAACUGAAAGUCAGAAUUUGGAUUAAGGAGCACAAAAUUACUGCUAAAUCAAAUUGAGUUAGAAGAACAAUCUUUUGUUCCAUUGGCCGAUUUCCCAGGCUAGCUUGUUUGAUCGAUUGGGCGAUCUAUUGAUUUAAUCUGUGCAUGUUUCCAAACGAAGCAUCAUGAAGAACCAGGAAAAUAAAGUGGAGUUGCCCUCUUUGUUUUCUUGUUUUAUUUUCUCAUUGAGCACUGUUUGAAAAUGCGCGCCUGAGGCGCGCGCCUAGGCGCGAGGCGCAGGCCUCAGCGCCUCAGCAAUAGUGAGGAGCAGCACUAUUGCUGAGGCGCGCGCCUCCGGCCUGAGGUGCGUGCCUCAAGAGGCGCGAGGCGUGCCUGAGGCGCGCGCCUUGCAAUAUUUAAGUUUAUAGGGAUUUUUUAUUCAAGUUUUUAAGUUGUCGGAUUUUGAAUUUACAUCUUAUACUUUAACCUGAUAAGAUAUUUAAAAAAUCUUAAAAGAAAUUUUUAAAAAAUGUAAGUUUUCGGGUUGUCGGAUUUUGAAUUUGUAUCUUAUACUUUAAACCCGAUAAGAUACUUAAAAAAUCUUGAAAGAAACCCACAAAACUCUUAAAAAACCAGCCGCUCGCCCCCUCCUCUCCAUCUCUUGUUCUCCCACAUCCUCUCUCUGUCGAGCAUCCAACAGUAGCUGUGUUAGCAGCGGCAGCAAACCAGCGGUGGCCAGAACAAGCAACUAGCAGCAAUGGUAGUAGAAAAUAAGAAGCAGCUGCAGCAUAAGCAAAAACAUCAAAUUAAACUAUAUGCAUGUGUUUUCUUUACUCUUUGAUGGUUAUUUGGAAUUUAUUAAUGUAGAACAUCAAAUUAAACUAAACUUAGUAAAUGUGAGCCUCGCCUUCUUGAGGCACGCGCCUCGCAGUGCACCUCGCGCCUAGGCUCCAGGAGAGUCUUGUGCCUCUCCGCGCCUCGCGCCUGACUUUGACUGGAUCAGAAGCUAGAGAGAGAGAGAGAGAGCGCGCGCGCGCUUCAAUAUGCUGUCAGCUACUUGGCCUUGCUUGUACAAGAAAGAAAUGAUAUUUGAGGUCUAUCAUCAACUCAUGGAAUAUGAGAAGAAACGGGCAAUGGUGCAAUUUUGGAGAAAGAAACACAUUUUUGCUACCUCCUCCUUUUCCUUCUGUUCGGAAUAUCUAGCCAAUGACCGUCUAUGAUAUACUAAAACCAUUUCAUCAAUAUCUAAUGAAAUUUAAUGAAUAUAACACCUUAAGCAAAACAAAUUUAUGAUGGUGUUAACCUUGCUUCAACUAAUAUCAUGCUUUGUUUGAGCUUUCUCUUCAAUUUAUGUCUUCUUGGAUUUUGCCAGGUUGCAUUAAGGAAAAGUCGUUUUGAUUUCAUUCUUCUUGUGCUAUUAUCAUAAAGCAUCAUUUGAUUUCAAGUAUGACAUGGUGAACAUCUUAGAUUCAUUAGGAGAGAUAAUUCAGCUAGUGGCCCCCUUAAUACUAGAGCAUAGACACUGAUCGAGUUUAGGUUGAUGUAACUUGAUAGACACCGAUUAGGCAACUUUUUCACUGGUAUGCACAUUGAUAUACCUUAAGUUGCUUCUGUGCCAUAUAUGCCAAAUAGCAUGCCAACUAACAUGCACUGGCAAUUCUAAAGGCAAUACACAAGCUUAUAUCUAGUUCUUUAAUGUGAUUGAAGAUUUAUAACUUUUGACUAAAUAUUCUCUGCUUGAAUCUUUGUUUAAAAGCGACACACAAGUGAGGUCUAAUCCAUGCAGUGAGUAGAUAAACUCUAAACAUUAAAACAAGGUAUUACUAAACUCUGCCGUCAUAGAAGAAACAGAGAAGAAUGUGAACAUUUCUGUAUUAUCAAAAAAUUUUAAAAAAAAAUCUUUCGAAGCACUAUAUUAAGUGUACUAAUAUCAACCAAUUGCUAAUAGAUGGCACAUUAGAUGAUUGAUAUGUUAGACACUAACACUACAUGGCUAGCUUAAUUUUGGUACUCAUGUUAUGCAUUAUCCUUUUUAUGCUGUACCAAUGGUAACUUCUUCCUGAAGAAAAUAUCGUUUUUUUAACCCCUGUGCAAAUGCUUUUCUUACCUCUUUUUGUAAUAACCUAUUCAUGCUGUUGGUUAUUCUUUUGCUAUAAUCUGGCAUGUUUUGAAAUUGAUCCUUCAAUGUUGCUUUUCAAAUUUCAUGAAGUUGAUUAAUUCACUGGUUAUUAUUUUCCCUCUUACGAAGUGCUCCCUAUUCUAAAUUUCCUUCCUACUAUGCUGUAACAGGUGUGUUCUCCUCGGCGCAAGUUGCGGAGCAAACAUCGCAGAUUAUGUGGCCCGAAAGGCAGUCGAGGCUGGGAAGCUAUUAGACCCCGUCAAAGUGGUCGCGCAGGUUCUAAUGUACCCAUUCUUCAUUGGCAAUGUCCCAACUCAAUCGGAAAUAAAGCUAGCAAACUCCUACUUCUACGACAAGCCGACGUGCCUGCUUGCCUGGAAACUCUUCUUACCUGAGGAAGAGUUCAGCUUAGACCAUCCUGCCGCAAACCCUUUAGUACCUGGAAGGGGCCCGCCAUUGAAGUGUAUGCCCCCGACUUUGACUGUGGUCGCGGAGCACGACUGGAUGAAGGACCGCGCAAUCGCUUACUCCGAGGAGCUCCGGAAGGUGAAUGUUGAUGCGCCGGUCCUUGAAUACAAGGACGCAGUCCAUGAGUUUGCAACACUUGAUAUCCUGCUCAAGACGCCGCAAGCUCAGGCCUGUGCCGAGGAUAUUGCUAUAUGGGUCAAGAAGUAUAUAUCUUCUCGCGGACAUGAGUUCUCGUAUUAGAUAUUGUAGAUUAGACGGUACGGGUUUUUUCAAACCAUUUUAGGUAUUGGGAAAAGAGCUGGAACCUUCCUCCCUGAAGUUAAGUUAUUGCACGACGAAGGCUACGGCUACUGAUCAUUAGUACGUUCAACCACGCAGAGCUACAUUUGACGCAGUAAGAGAGAGCGCAGAGCUGCAUUUGAUGCAGUAAGAGAGAGAGAGCGAGAGGAAGGGAGAUACAGGGAGAGGAUGUAUUGAUCUGCUUUAACUUGUGUUAAUGACAGUCAAGUUCUUUGGCACGUGUUAUGCCAUUAAAUGCACGAACCAUUCUAUAUAAAUAAAUAUCCAUGAUAAUCCAAAUUCUCUUUUUCUUUAAAUGAUGAUAUCAACAGAUUUGGUUUUGAUAAUCUAUUUUGAUAUUGACAAGCGGAUUUAUCAAAAUUAAAUAAAUUUGACCUAAUUUAGUAAACCUAAUAUGCUUGCUUUCAAAAUCAUGCCCGUUGAUAUCACUUUGCCCUUUCUUCUUGUUUUCCUCUUGCUCUUUUCAUCUCCGUCUCUUCUAAGGCAGUAAAAUUAUCUAGUUCUACUCUAUGUGCUGCUUAGAUAUCAGCUUUGAAGAUACCCAAAAGAGUUCAUUUUAAUACACAACUAUAUAUAUAAGAAGAGAAAGAAAUAACAUCUCACUUGCUAACUAUAAGAAUUACCAAUAAAGAUAAUCACCAACCAACCAAUGAAACAGUAAUCUGAAACAAGCCGGAGAAAUACAUGGAAGGGAAACAAUAUAUAAGCAAACAACAACAGGAAGGUAACUAACAGUAGGCCUCUUCUCUUCAACCUAGUAGAAGAGUGAAAUUAGGAACGCGAGCCCGGCGAAGAGGGCGGAAGCGGUUGACGGGAUCUCGCGGAAGGCGGAGGAGCUACCUCCGCCACCUCCGCCACCUCCGCCACCAGCAGUUGGCGGGGGUGUGGGGCCGUCCGCAGCCAUUGCAGACGCGCUCAUCAGCAAUACCGCCAUGAAGAGCACCGCGGUGCGAACGGCGAGAGAAGAACUUGCAGUAGUUGCAGCCAUUUCCUUGAAGAGGUAGCAGAGGAGAUGAUACUUGCUUUGGUUACUGGGGUUUUGGUAUGAGGUGAGAGUUCUCUGCUCUGCAGUUUAUAACCUGGAGAUGAUUGAAUUGGUCAAGGUAUAGGGUUAUUGUUGAAAUGUCUUAUUCAAAAACCCAAAAAAAAAAAAAAGAAGAAGAAGAAAACAAUACCAAUACACAACUAAGAAAAUGGUGCCAUGUAACCAAAAUACAACAUUAGUGUGCUAGAUUAUUAUUAUUGGCUUUAUUCAACACGAAAUAGGCGACGACCAGAAGAAAACAACGAGGUAGCCGCCCAGUACGUAACGUAUGCAUAGUUCCCUUCAAAAUAUAUUGUCAAAGGUUACACCUAACAAAGCCUGGUAUAUAAAGAAGCUUCUAUGAUUGAGCUACAAAUGGGAGAGAGAGAGAGAGAGAGGUUAGAAGGUUCCACCUCAAUUUGUAAUAAUAAUAUAACUUACGUGGCGGUUCCGCCACCUGCAAACUGGUACCAAAAAAUAAAUCUAAUACAAAAUAAUUUUUAUUCACGUGCACAAUAUAAAUCGGAUGAAUUAUAUCAAAAGAAGAUGAAACACAGAAUUUUAAUUUAAGGUUAAUUGUAUAUUGUUUUCUGUAAAUAUAUUAAAUAGCAGAUAUGUUUCUAUAAAAUUUAACUUUUUAUAUUUAUUCCUACAAAAGUCUUAACGAUUUUAAAUAUCUUCAUGCUGUUACGAUCUUUAUACAGUUAACCAUAAAUAAAAUACUUAAUUUUGAUUAGUUAAUGAGAUAAAUUAACAUUUUUAUUCUUUUUUUAAUUAUUUGUGAAGGUAGAAAAAAAAAAUGACCACCGGAGAUUUUUGGGAGGAUAUUACUAUAUAAUUCUAGCAGUAAAUUACGUUUCUGAAAGGACAUAUUUGUGAUAGUAAAAGUGCCAUUGCACUUAUCUUUUAUCGAAAUAUAAAUAAUGCUUUAACGGUAACAAAUCAGAGAAGCGAAUGCGGAUAUUACUAGACUUUUGUAAAAAUAAAUAUAAAAAAUUAAACUUUGUAGAAAUAUAUUUACUAUUUGAUAUAUUUACAAAAAAUUGUAUGAAAUUAACUCUAAAAUUUGUGCUAUUGAAUGACGAAUACGGAAAUUUAAACUUAAGGAUUCUAAGAAAUUUAAACUUAAAUAUUCUACGAUAACUAACUAGCUGGUUUGCUAGUCCAAUUAGUUAACCUUUAAAACGGGGAAAUUUACGUAACGUGUCCAAAUAUAUAUCUAAUUACAUGUACAGAACUUUGGAAUUUUCUUUUGAGGAAAGAUAUACAUCCUUAUCAUAGACGAACAAAUUAAAUUACAAUUUCCACAUAUAGAACUUUUCUCCUUGGGUAAAAAAAAAAAUACCAGAAUUGUUACACUUGUCAACCAAUCAAACCCAGUUUAUUCUUUCAUUUUCUAAUUAAUUUAAUUAUUUGUCCUAUGUAACUGUAACAUUGACUUUUGUAAGUCAUUAAAUUAAACCAUCAAAAAGGCUUAGUUCUACGGAAAUGCUUAAUCGUCACGCAAACAAGCAUGCGGAAGAAGUCAAAGGUUGGAAAUUUAAAAAAAUUUAAAAUUUUAUAGAAAUCUAGUAUUUUUAUUUUUCAAUUUUUCUUUUACAAAAAAUAUAAAAAAAUAUUUUUCAAAAAGUUAGUUUCUUUAAAAGUAAACAAGNAAAAAAAAAAAAAAAAAAAAAAAAGGGAAUGAUUUUCGAUGCUGCGUAGAUGACAUUUGAGCUGCAGGUAAAUAUGAUAUUAGCAUUGUGUUUGAUACUGCAGAGAUUAUUUGGACAAAUUUUAUUGCUGAGGAGAAGAUCUAUGCAAUUCUACACGCUAUAAACAUUGUCACUUUCCUUUUCUGUUGUUGAACUACCAUUAACAGUGAUUCAAAAAAAAAAACAAAAAAAAACAGUUAUUAUUGUGAUUACUUGGGUGCAAUGAGUUGGACAAUUGCUGGCCUGGUGGCUGAUUGCAAUGUUAUUCUGCAUCAGCACAAUAACAUUCACCUCCUCUAUUUGUAUUACAAGAGCUUUUAACCUUCGAGCGUAUUAUCUAAGAAAAGAUCCCUUACAACGAACAAUCCAUCCAAAAAAGAUAUCUUAUGGUGAUGGUUGACGAAGGGGAUAUGGAAUGGGCCCUUGGUGAAGAUGUUGGUGAAGUUUGGGAGAGGGCAACGCGUGGAGAUCGUAAUAGAAAAAGGGUGACGAACACAUCUUUAGUUGUAGCUUGCUUAUGGAUUACAUGGGCAGAAAGGAACAAUAUAAUUUUCGGAGGGAUCAAUGGUAAGCCGCUGGCAGUGGUCAAUAAGGGUAGAUUGCUGGCGAAGCAAUAGGAGGAUAUUUGUGUGGACAAUCAUCACUUAUCUUAGAUUGAUUGUUAUAAUCUGGCAGAUUUUUUUGUAGACGGUUUCCAACUAUUUUUUCUUUUUCUUUUUCUUUUUUUCGAAAUUAGUUGCCUCAUUUCCGUAGCAAUCAAAUCUGAUAAACUAUUUAGGUUAUAUAGCAGUACAGUAAUUAAUGGUGCACAAAUAAUAAUAAUUAAAACACCACGUCAUUUUUACAUCAACGAUGUGUCAAAUAAAUUAAAUUGUGGGAUAUGAAAUAUGGUUAUAAUAACUCUGAAAGUUAGAGGUAAAAAUUAUAAUAAAUUAAAAUUUAAAGACUAUAGUAUCACCUAACUCAUAAUUUGAGAAUCAAACUUGCAAUUUAUCAUUCUUAAAAUUUUGAACGAUUGGAUAGUCAAAUCAAGAAAAAGUCAUACAAUUUUUUUUUUAAAUUUUUUGAUUUGUUAAGAAAGUGGAUGGUUAAGAUAUUUAGCAUAAAACUAAGGCUAAAUUACAGAAAACCCCCUUAUAAUAACCCGCUUUUUCACUUUCCCUCCCUGACAUUUAAAAACCUACACUUUGCCCUCCUGUAAAAUAAAAAAUGUUCACUUCACCCCCUACCGUUAGGGUUCCGUUAAAAAAUAUAUUUUUAUGCCGAAAAUACCCCUCCGCCAUCUCCAUGUUGCUUCGCCUCCCUCCGGCUCGCCACCUCGCCGCCUCCUUGCCGCCUCGCCGCCUAGCUGCCUCGCCGUCCUCCACUGCCACGCCCUCACCCACAUCCCCUUCGUCGUCCUCCGCCGCCUCGCCUUCGCCUUCUUUCCCCUUCUUCUACUGUCACCCACCUCGAUUUUUCCUACUGUCGCCGAAAUCGAGGAUGGCGAGGGUGCAGGAGGAGAAGGGGAGCAGGUGGAGAAGAAAAUGGAGAGAAAUCGCGACCGAUUGAGGUGGGAAUCACGGCAGAAUGAAGGGGCGGCUGAGGAGGAUAGGGAAGAAGACAACAAUGGCGAGGGGCAAAAUGGUCAUUUUACACACCGUAACCUCCUGUAAACAUUUUUCAUUUUACAGGGGGGCAAAAUGUAGGUUUUGAAAUGUCAGGGAAGAAAAGUGAAAAAGCGGGUUAUUACAGGGAGGUUUUCUAUAAUUUAACCUAAAACUAAUUAUGGCUGUACAAACCUACGCCCCCAAUUCAAAAAAUUCGACCGUUACACUCUCCCCGUCCCCAAAGAGCAAAAGUAUCUCCUUUCCUAAACCUCACAUGUUUUUAGGAGAUCAAUGGCACCGAAGGAAAACACUAACAAGACCACCUCACCAAGAACAUCCUCCUCCUCCUCCUCCUCCUCCCACCUCUCCGGCGCCAUGAUCAAGCAGAGCGUCCUAAGCCCGGGGUUCCGGUCGGUGGCCGCCAUGGCCGGGUGGGACGAGGAAGCUCUCUUGCUCGCGAGCCUCGUCGUCGAGGACACCCCGGUGCGAGAGUCCCGUCACAAGAGACGCUCCAAUCCCCACCUCAAAUCCCCUCCGAGCACCAGUUCCAACCGGUCCUCGUCGACUUCCAAAUACCCAUUUCGUCCCAUCCAUCCUCCUCGGUGCUCCUUCGAUCUCUAAUGGGCUCUUUCGGUUCUCGCAGGAAACGAAGAUCCCGAAGGCGGUCCACGAAUUUGGUCCCCCCCGUGGUUCUCUCUCUUGAUGAUGACGAGCUAAGUGAUAAGAAAGGUUCGAUCUUGUUCUUGUCUAAAUGUAAAAAUGUUGAAUUGAUUCUCGUUGGGUUCUCCAAAUUUGAUUUUUGGGUUUCGAUUGAUUCAGACUCGGGUGAUGCGAGAAAAGAAAUGGGGACUAUUGCUGCUGAGGAGAAGAAGAAGAAGCCGCCAUUAGCAGAGGGGGCUUCACCGGAGAAGCUCUCGAGCAACGCGCUCCCGUGUAUGGAUCGGCUGAGAGAGGAGCUUUCUUGCGCCGUAAUAAGCCAUUUUUUAGUUUCUCCUUGUCUCGAUUUUGGAUUGUUCUAUUGACCUUGUCCUAAUUUAAUUUAGUGUUUGCUAGAUUUGUUUGGAGAUUUGCUUCGAACCAAGCACUACUCCCUGUGGGCACAGGUAAAAAACCAAUUUUUAUUGAAUUUAGUCCUUCAAAUCCAUAGAAAAUUUUGUAUAUGAUUACUGGAUGUAAAAUGAUAGUAAGAUUUGAUAUAAUCACUGCAACUAUUUGCUCAAUCGCAAAGUUUUCUAUGGAUUUGAAGGACUAAAUUCAAUAAAAAUUGGUUUUUUACCUGUGCCCACAGGGAGUAGUGCUUGGUUCGAAGCAAAUCUCCAAACANAUUUUGUAUAUGAUUACUGGAUGUAAAAUGAUAGUAAGAUUUGAUAUAAUCACUGCAACUAUUUGCUCAAUCGCAAAGUUUUCAACUUGUUCUGUUUUAGCCUCUAUUAGCGAAUUGAAAACAUCCUUUUUCCUUUUUUCUUUUUAAUAACAGCUUCUGCAUGAAGUGCUUAAAGUGUGCUGCAGCUAAAUGCGGAAAAAGGUGUCCUAAAUGCAGGCAACUGAUCAGGUAAAAAGAAAAACAAAAAAUCUCACCUUAAAGAGUGCUCCUUUGUUAACAAUAUGAAAGGGUUUUGUAAGAAUCGAGUUCAAUGUAUUCAUUUUAUGUGUGUUUUACAGCAAUGGGAGAUCUUGCACAGUGAACACAGUUCUUUGGAACACAAUUCAGCUCCUGUUUCCGGAGGAAGUCGGGGCGAGGAAGAGCUCCACAGACCCAAAAAUCACUUCUGAUCAAAGCACCGAACCCUCUUCCGAAGGUUCAGAGCGAAGCAACAGCGACAUCACCAGAAGCAGCAGCAUGAGAAGCUACACCCAAGUUUCUGAAACAAUGGAUCGGGUGGGCAGAAGAAGGGCGGCGCCGAGCCGCCAAUCGGAGGAUGCCGCGUUGGCUUAUCGGUUGCAGAGGGAAGAGUUCAUGGUAGCUUUCCGGAGCAGCCGCGAGGAGCAGCGGAGUGCCCUCUACGCUGCUAGCGCCAAUCUCCGAUCUAUGGCCUCUAGAGCUAUUCAUUUGCGGACUAGAAGUCGGCACUCAUAAUAUGCAUGUUACCGUUAUUCCGCUUUCUGAAACAAUUUGGCAGAACAUUCAGACUAAAACACUUCAUUUGAUGGAAUUGUAUCGAAUUUCGUAGAUGUUGAUUAGCACUUUUUGGCGGUACUUAGCCCAAUAUUUGAAUUCUUCACUGUUCUAACAUGUUGUAGGAAUCCUCUUUGUUAAAGCAUUGGUGUGAUCAGAUGGAAAAAUCGAAAUAAUAUUACAGCGGUACAUUUUGCAGAUUGAUCAGAUGGAAAACACGAAUCUAAACACACAUUUUAUCGAAUUGAAUUAUCAUUAUUAUUGUUAUUAUCAUUUUAGUGUUGCAGGACAUAUUAGAAACUACUGUCCGGCCCUGGUCCAUUAUGAAUCACUAUCUCUUUUUCUUUUUUACUAAAGAAAAAAAAGGUGUUUAUCGGUUUAUGCACACCUUCGUAUUCGUGCACUACAUAAAAUUGAGAAAUGCUAGCUAUAUGUUCUAAAAAGUGGUGUAUAUCCUACACCACUUUGUCCCAAGAUUCGUGAUUUUUUAAAUUUUUUAAUAGUUUAUAAAAAAAAAUAGUUAAAAAGAUAAAAGCAAAAUAUUGAUUUUUAGAUGGAGAAUUAAUAUAAAAUUUACAAUCUUUUUAGAAUAUAUAGGUAGCAUUGCUGUUUCAUUAUAUACAACACUAUUAAUUUUUUUUUAAUUCUAAUAUACAAAUUUAGCUUUUCUGUACUAUCCACGACAUUCAUAUAUGUACUUAUUAAAAAUUAUAUUAAACUACUCACAAUUAGACGAUGAUUUCGUAAUAAAAUCUGUUUUGAAACCUCGGCAGCCAAACACUUCGGCACUGUUUGGAUUAGGAAUAAGAGGAUAUCCCUCUCCUUAUCCCUUUUAUACCCAAACGCAAAUUUUUUAUCUGAAAUAGUAGUUUUCGACUAUCUGAAAUAAGCUGGUAUAAUUAUCCUCGUCAAAACCUUCAUUUUUUAUAUAUAACUACUCAUUAUUUUUCUUAUAUCUAUCCCUAUAAUAGCUAGUUCUUGCUUAUAUCCGAACAAAACGAAGCCUUCCUGUUUAAAGGGCCCAAAAAAAAAUCUGAACAUAUUUUUACAGUUCAUCUCUUAUAUGGUAUAAAAUAGUCUGGAUUGAGCCCUGGUGCAUAGACCGCGGUGCAUGGAAUAAAUUCGGACCGGAUAAGAGAUUGGAAACAAAGAAGGAAAGGCUCUAGUGAGAGAGAGAGAGGAAACGAGAGAGAGAGCGAGCUCUUUCGCUCUCUCUUUUUCCUUGGAAAGGGAGUGAGAAGAAGCAGCAAUGGAAGUGGUGGGCGUGUCGACACGGGCUCCUCUGAUUCGCGUAUGCAGCAGCGCCGCGAAAGCGUUGAUUAACUGGGAAGUGCGAGCACUGUAUGAUGUGCAUGUACGUACGUCUUUCGGAAAUGAAUACUAGUGUAGAUUUUUUUUUUUUUUUCAGGAUGGGAGAAACUCCAAAAUAUCAUCACGUGAUUUCGUACUUUUUUAUUUUAUUAUUUUAUAAUUUAAAGUGUAUUAAAUUAAUAACUUAUGAUUUUAUAUUUUUUUACUUUAGUAUCCUGUGAUUUAAAGUGCAUCAAUUCAGUACACUGUAGUUUCAUUUUUCUCUUUUCUCCAGCUCCUUUGUUAAUAUUUCGUUAAAUUAUAUACAAAAACUUCAGAUACCCUGUAGUUUCAUUUUUCUCUUUUAUUCGGCUCCUCUCUUAAUAUUUCGUUAAAUUAUAUACAAAAAACUUCAGAUACGCACCCUACCUAACUAGAUUUAUCGAAUAUUUAUUUUAGUAUCUUUUAGUUUUAAUUUUGUCACUGAUUUUUUUUUCCUUCGUUAAUAUUUCGUUAAAUUAUAUACAAAAAACUUUAGAUAUCCUACGUAGGUUUAUCGAAUAUUUACUUUAGUACCCUUUAAUUUUAACUUUGUCACUGAUUUAACGAAAAAUUAGUGAAAUAAAUAAUAAAAAGAAAAAAAUAAAACCACAUGGCACUAACUUAAUACAUUUUAAACUUGAAACCACAUGUGGGUAAAUUGCACUAUUACCCUCUGAACUUUUGGCGAAAUUUCACUUUAUCCCUCGAACUCCUAAAAUGGACAUCUAACCCCCUAAACUCUAAUAUUUCGUUCAUAUUACCCCUUCCGUCAGUUUUCCGUCAAACUCCGUUAAUCGGAAAUUAACGAAAGGUAUAAAACGAAUGAAAUAUUAGAGUUUAACGUAUUAGAUAUCUAUUUUAGGAGUUUGGGGGUUAAGUGAAACUCGCCAAAAGUUCAAGAAGUAGUAGUGCACUUUACUCCGUAGGGGACUCUUGACUAUAAAUUAUUUUAUUAUAAUAUGUUACUUAUGGAUUGACUACUAAUCCUCAAGUUAGUGAUCAUACUUGAUUUUAAAUUCAUAUAUAUUUUUUAUCCUAAAAUAAAUCAUACCAUAAUUUAUCCUACAUUUUAUUGUAAUAAAAUAAAAGUGAAAGAAAUGAAUUAGAAUGACUUAAAGAUAAAAAAAGAUAGAUACUAACUAUCUACGAUACUCGAACACUCUACUAUUUUGGUAUACUCGCUAAUAUGGUUAAUUUACAAUAGGUGUCCUCACUCGGAUAUAGAUAAUUUAAUUCUCAGUUAAUUUUCUGUAGUACUCGUUUGUCCCUUUUAUCUUUAGAAGCAUUAUUCUAUAAAAUACACUUAAAUAAAAUUUUUAUACUUCAUUUCAGUCAAUUAGAAAUUUUUAAUAUAAAAAUAUAAAAAUAAUUUAUAGUAAAAAUUGGGGUAAAUUGUAUUGUUACUUCCUGAACUUUUUGCAAGUUUCACUUAACCCCCCAGACUCCUAACAUAGACAUCUAACACCCUAAACUUUAAUAUUUUAUUCGUUUUACCCCUUCCGUCAGUUUCCGGUUAACGGAGCUUGAUGGAAAACUGACGGAAGGGGUAAUAUAAACGAAAUAUUAGAAUUUAGGGGGUUAGAUGUUCAUUUUAGAAGUUCAAGGGGUAAAGUGAAACUUCGCCAAAAGUUCAGGGGGUAAUAAUGCAAUUUAUCCUUUACUUUAGUACCUUUUAGUUUUAAUUUUGUCACUGAUUUUUUUUUCCUUCGUUAAUAUUUCGUUAAAUUAUAUACAAAAAAACUUCAGAUAUCCUACGUAGGUUUAUCGAAUAUUUACUUUAGUAUUCUUUAAUUUUAAUUUUGUCACUGAUUUAACGAAAAAUCAGUGAAAUAAAUAAUAAAAAGAGAAAAAUGAAACCACAUGGCACUAAUUAACUUGAUACAUUUUGAACUAUAAAGUACUAAAGUAAGAAAGUGCGAAACUAUAAGAGCUAAUUUAAUACACUUUAAACCACAUGGUACUAAAGUGAGAAAGUGUGAAACCACGUGGGAGUAUUUGAAGUUUAUCCUUCUUUUUAAGAGCACCGAUGGGUGAUUACUAAAAAUAAACUCAGAUAAAAAUAUAAAGUAACUAUAUUUUCAACUUAAAAAUCUCGAAUGUCAACCAUUAAAAGUUCUUAGCUAAUUAUACUGAGAGGGCCGAUUUUUCCUACAAAUUUUUUAAAAUGUUAUUUAGAUAAGACUGUAUAAAAUUUAUCAAAAUUAUAUAUUAUUUUGAUUCUACUAGGAAAAUUUUUAAAAUAAAAAUUUUAAUAUCUAAUCUUUCAAUUUAUUUUAUUUAAAUAAUUUGAUGAUUUUUUUUUUGAAAGAUAGAUAGCACGCUAUCCGCUUCAUUUAUUUUAUUUAGAAAUAAACUUAGCUGGAAUUGUGAAUCAACUGGGAUUCGAACUUGGGACCUCGAGUACCAACCAUCAAACCCUUUGUCACUUGUUUUAGGGACGGUUGGUAAAAAAAUAAAUUUAUAGUUAUGUAAUUGUAUAAAAUAGCUAACUAAAUUGGUAAAGAUAAAUAAUAAAUUUAUAUUUUAAAGUAAAAGAAUUUGUAAUUGACGCAAAUCAAAAAAUUAAAAGUUUAGAUAGUAAAAUUAAAAUUUCUAAGUAGU
rnacentral:lncRNA from 1 species